rnacentral:lncRNA from 1 species
GUAAUGUAAGGAUAAGGUUAAAAACAGAAUGUGAGGGUAUAUAAAGGGGUGAUAAGAAUAUUUGGAAAAGAACAGGAAGUAGUGAGUUUAUACUAGUGCAAACAUAAAACUAGUACGAGAGCUAGUUUACAAUACCAUGUCCUCGUUCAUAGUUCGAUGAAUUAAGGUUUCGACUUGGAAGCUGAUAUCAGUACUCUCAAGGAUUAUUUCUGGUGAGGGUCUCCUGCGUAUCUGACCGGGUUAGACGUUCCAUUAUAAGUUUAUUAUUAUUAAAGGCCAUAUCCAUGAUAGGGUAAUAGCCGUUUAAUCUUAAGAUUAUAUAUGAUUCUUUACCAUAUUUAUGACUCAAUAUGAUACAUGUUCUGUUACUUUGCUGAUAUAUAUGAUUUAAUAUAUGUGUUAAUAUGAGCAGUAGCUAUUACUGGUUAUUGAAUAAAUCUGGUAAUUGAUUGACCAUCUAGUUAGGGCCCGUAUGCUGGCGAUCUUGAUUAUUGCACUUCUGUUACACAGUGGGCCUUGGUAAGCGCCACAACUAACUAUCGUCAUGGGCCUUGAUAGGCGCCACUAUAUGCAGACCGAUUUGGUUCCACUAACAUGUAUAUGGGUCGUAGUUCGCCAACCUCUCUAACUAACAUACGAUACAAUUUAACUUCACGACACGGCAAAAAGAAAGAGCUUCGCUUAUAUGCCAUAUACUUUCUACAUGAUUAUGUGUACCUUAUAGUGGCCCAGGAUAAAGAUCCUCACUCAGUGAUUAGCACUAACCCUUAUUUUCCAUUUCAGAGUGACAGUAGGCUUUAGAGGUUCACACACUGCAAAUCUACAAAAUGGUAUUAUCGAGCUUCGGGGUCGGCCAUCAUGGUGACGACACCAGGUAGAUAUCGAAGAUUGUGUCUUGAUCCUCGUUUUGUAUUUUAAAACUCAUGUGAAACUUUUACUCUCAUCAUGUGCACACGCUAUGAGUGGUUGUGUACUAGUAUAAUGUGAGAUAUGGUUUUGUAAAAUAUAUUGGCCUUAGGGCAAGUAUAAGGUUACUCUAGUCCGAGCCUGUGACGCUCGAGACUUCUGUACUAUAUGUAUAUGUGUCCUUCUGGAAAUCUGGUAUAGUGUAUUGUAUUGUGUAAAAUAAAUAAGUCAUAUAUGACAUUGUGAGUAGUUUCUGUGUUGACUGAUUAAUUAUAUGGGUACAUAUAAGCACAAUCCUAGAUUAUGAGAAAGGAAUUAAUUGGAUGAGUUCACAACAUCAAAAUUUGUUUGAUACAAUGUCCUAAUCAUAUUUGCAACCCUACAUGUCCAUUUUUCCACAUGAAAACUUCCUUUAAGCACAACUCUUAAAGCAACUUUCCACCAACGAAGACUCAAAACACUUGUGAAAUAUGAAGAUCCAAACUGGUAAAGCUCCAACUUUUUUCAUCAUCCUAAUCUUUAACAUCUCAUCCUAGUCCCUCCUGCAAUUUCCUAGCAAUCCCAGCUAUGGAGAGGCUCAUCCCUAUCAGUUGAAUCCCAAGCAACAUACUUGCUAAUUUCCCCAGACAAGACCUUCACUUGCGGCUUCUACGUCUUAAACCAAAAUGCCUACUGGUUCUCAAUCUGGUUGACAAACUCCACCGACAAAAUCGUGGUCUGGACAGCCAACCAAAAUAGACCGAUCAACGCCAAAGGCUCCCAACUCUCCUUCCGUCCAAACAGCGUCUUAGCCUUAACCGACGUCGACGGCUGCCUCGUUUGGGAAACCAACACCAGCUCCACCGGCGCUUCCAUCGCCCAGCUUCUCAACUCCGGCAUCCUGGUUCUCAAAAACCCACAAGGUAAAAUUCUAUGGCAGAGCUUCGAUUACCCAACUGACACUCUGUUACCGACCCAAAUAUUCAGAAAGCGUUCGACUUUGGUCUCGAAUUUGGGUCGGGGAAAUUACCAGUCGGGUUAUUUCACCUUCCUUUUCGAUAACGAUAAUGUAUUGAGGAUGAUUUACGACGGUCCCGAUGUUUCACAAUCUAUUGGCCUACUUCGGAUUUCUCUGUUUUCCAGAAUGGACGGACGAAUUAUAAUAGUAGUAGGAUUGUUUUGCUUGAUGAGAUGGGGAGUUUUGUCUCUAGUGACAAGUUAUAAUUCAGUGCUUCUGAUUUUGGUGUUCGCGGCGUUAAACGGAGGUUGACGGUGGAUACCGAUGGAAAUUUGAGGCUAUAUAGCUUGAAUAGUUUGACAGGGUCGUGGGUGAUUACGUGGCAGGCGAUUGAUAAUCUUUGUAGUGUUCAUGGGAUUGUGGGAGGAAUGGGAUAUGUUUGUACACUCCAGUUCCUAAAUGUUCAUGUGAUCCUGGGUAUGAAGUCAACGAUCCUAAAGAUUGGAGUAAAGAGUGUAAACUUGUUUUCAAAAGAUCGUGUCUUAGAAGGAAACUGGUGAAGUUUGUGAAAGUUCUAAAUGUGGAUUUCUGGGGGUUUGAUUUGAAUUUCAGUCAACGGGCUUUGAUGGAGACUUGCAGGGAUCUUUGCUUGGACGAUUGCCAGUGUGAUGCCUAUAGCUAUAGACUGACUAGGGAAGCGGUUUGUUGUACUAAGAGUAUCAUGUUCAAUGGCUACCAGUCUACAGCAUUUCUGGGGGACAUAUACUUGAAGCUACCGCUGAGUGUUGAUGUUGUUGCGAAGGAAGAAGAAGCGCUGAGUCUCGAUGGGAGCGACAUUGUUUGCGAUGACGGAGGGUCGAGGAUUGAGAUUGGUUCUCUGUCUAUGUACGAGAUAGAGACCAAGAGACUGAGGUGGGUUUAUCUCUACUAGUUCGCCUACGCAAUUGGUGCGAUCGAGAUCCUGUUGAUAGGUGUAGGUUGGUAGUUUCUUAGUGCAAUGCUGAGGAUAUCGGAUUCGGUGGAGAUGGGGUAUCACGCAAUAGCGAGUCAGUUCAUGAGGUUUAGCUCCACAUAAUUGAAGAAGGCGACCAAGAAUUUCAAGGAAGAGCUCGGAAGGGGAGGGGAGGGGUCGUGUACAAGGGCAUUUUGGGCGACGAGAGGGUUGUGACUGUGAAGUGACUCGGAGAUUCAUAUCAAGGCGAGGAUGUGUUCUGGGCAGAGGUUACCAAGAUCGGGAAGAUCAACCAUAUGAACUUGGCAAGAAUGUGGGGAUUCUGUUCUAAAAACCGGCACAUGAUGUUGGUUUAUGAGUAUCUAAAGCACCAGUCGAUAGAUAACUAUCUUUUUUCGAGCAGCGGGACCAACUCUCCCGAGUGGGAAGUGAGGUUCAAGGUUGCUCUACGAACGGCGAAAGGUUUGGCUUAUCUACACCACGAGUGUCUUGAAUGAGUCAUACAUUGCUUUAUGAAGCCCGAGAACAUAUUGUUAGACGAUGAUUUCAAACCAAAGAUUGCUGAUUUCGGGCUCGCCAAGCUGUCUCAAAGGGACAUCAACAACUCUCAGUUCACCAAAAUCAGAGGGACGAACGCACACAUGGCUCCUUAGUGGCCUUCAAAUCUCCCCAUUACAGCAAAGGUCGAUGUUUACAGCUAUGGAGUUGUGAUUCUUGAACUUGUGAAAGGAAUUAGGCUCUCCGAUAUGGUUGAGGAAGAGGAAGAAGGUGAGCUUGCUAGGUUUUUCAGGAUAUCCGAAAGGAAAAUCGCACCAGGAGGAAGUGAGUCGUGGGUUGAUGAUCCGGAGAUAGUGGAACUGAAGUUGAAAGGGAAGUUUAGUCAUAAACAAGUGGUGAAAAUGGUCGAAAUCAGGCUGGCUUGUGCCGAUGAAGACCGAAACAAGAGGCCUACUAUGGACAUUGUAGUCCAAUCUCUACUAGAUUUUCAGGAUUACAGGGCAAACACAACUGUUCCUGAAUCGUCAUCAUCUCCCUAGAUUCUAAACUUUGAUUGUGAACAGUAGCAUAGACAAAGAUACAAGAAUGUAGAGUAAAUAACACAACUUUACCAUAUACGUUUCGAGAUAAUUUCGUGUUUUGCUGCUAAAGUUCUGUUCUUGAAUAAAGUUAGAUUACAGUUUCAUAUUUAGUUCUUCCAUCUUAUUCACCAACAAACAAACAAUACAGACCGGUAGUUGAAGUAACAGACCAUGGUACUUGCAGAGGUUUACCUGAUCAGGAUUGAAGCUCACAUGCGAAUGAUAUCUGCAGGAAUCGAUGGUAACAGAAACAAGAACAAAGAAUUCUUGGCAGCCACUAAUGGAAUAUAAACGCAUUGCAAAUUGUUUUUUGGUUCUGGUAUACAUCCGAUGGAAAUUUAACAAAAUUAAAGUGAUGAUCAAGAAACUGAUUCUCUAUUGCAGAAAGAUUUACAGAUAGAAUUGGCGUAUCACUAUGAUUCGGGAAUAACUAACUCAUCUAUCAAGCAUCAACAAACAAUUCGGAGGAGGGCUGCUGUCGCUUGCUCAGGUUGCGAACUUGCCGGCCACGACCCGACGAAAUCGAUCAAAUUUGAAGGUUCAGACCGGUCGUUGGUCCGCCGCCGCCUUUUUUCUAGGGUUUGCUCGUCGGGGAAUCUGUACGCAUCAGCCAAUUGUUCCUGCGACAAUUGAUCGUGUCUCAAAAGCCAAUCUUGCAGCUUUUUUGGCUCUUCCUGGAUAUCGCCGCCGCCGACGUCGUUCUGGAUUACGUCGGAACAAGUUUAAGAGGAUACUUUAUAGCAGAUUUGACAUGCCUGUACUUGAGAAUGAUGUCUUUGACCUUGUUUGGAUCCUCCGACCACGUAUCGACUUCGCCGUUGGGUUCGAAGCAAACGUAGGCGACGUCGAUGCAGCAGAGAGUAGAGAGCUCCGGCGCUUUCUUCUUGAGGGUUCUUCUCGUCUUCUUCAGUUGUGGUGACCGAGACAUUGUUAGUUUGUUGAGGAAAUUUCUAAAAUUCGUCGCUAAAGGAAGGGUUAAUUUAUUUGUUGCGGGAUGAAGUUAACUGGGUUUCUUUUCCGGUUUAUAUAGGUAGAGAGUUUUCCGGUUAUAGAAUUCUUUAAUCGGUGGAUAACUACUGCAUUAGGAAUUAGGAUUCCUUUUCCGAGAUGGAAUAGGAAACUAUUACUUGCCCGAUAAGGAUUGCCGUAAAAGGAUAAUUAUUUAUUGAGACAAAUCUAGUUAAAUAUUUUAGAACUAUAAAUCUGUCUGUAAGUAUCUAAUUUUUCAAUUGAAAAAAAUAGUAAUAGUGAAAUAUAGAGUUGCAAUUUGGUCAAGCUUAAUAAUAAAUAUAUGAAAGAUAUAAAUAAUCAAAUACACAAUGAAAAAUAUAGGAAUAUAACAAAUAUUAUUGAAAAUUUUGAAUAGGACCAUUCAAGAAAAAGACAAUAUUUAGAUGCAGACUCGUCUGUAAGGCAUUUCUGCAGUCAGUCACGUGUCACAAAUCCAUUGGCAUCAUUUCUUUUCUUUAUUUUUAUUAUUUUUAUUUUUUAAAAUUAUUGGACGAAAAUCUAUUUAAAGGAAAGGAAAUAGUAAACGUUGUUAAAUUUUGUUGUUGGAAUUAUUGAGUUGUGAUUGGUAAAUAAAACAUGUUGGUAUAAUGUUUGGUCUCAUAUGUAAGAAAUAGUUUGCUUACUUUACCUAGUAUGUACUCGAUGUACUAGGCCUUUACUUGUAUGUACUCAUGUCAACAUGCAUAUAUUUAAAGUGUGUAUUCACCUAUAGACGUACAAUAAACAAUGUGUACAUGCUAUGUACACAAAAAUGAAUACAAAGUUAUAUAAAAGAAAAAAAUCACCAUAAAUAUAAUACUAACAUCCAAAGUAUGAUGAUCAUAAAAUUUUCAAAAUCAAAACUUCGACAACCAAAAAAUCCUUUAAAAGAUCGAAAAAUUUCGGCUUUCGACCCCGGAGAAGGUUAGGGUAAUUGGAUCUCCCUCCCCAACAACCAAAGCUGGCUGCAAAAAUUUGAGAAAGAGUUGGCCUUGAAGGGUUGAUGCUUUCUCUAAACUAUAAAACCCUAAAUGAGAACAAGCAAUGCUCUUCCACCUUCCCACCCGCUAGUCCACCAGUGGCUACAACUAUAUAAAAGCAAGUACCUCAAUUAUUUAAGCACACGAGUCGCAACACCACUAACCUCUCUGAUUCCUUACACUCUUCAGUCUCCACUUCAUUUUCCUCUCAUCGCCAUUACCAAACUCAAGAAUCGAAAAAAUGGCCUCUUCCCCAUCUGGUUUCGGCCUCUCCCAGGCUCUUAAUUUGCAAAAAGACUUUGCAUUCCACCGGAUGUGGUGUCCCAAUCCGACGAUCCGCAGCCCAACUGUCUUGUCCGUGAAAAGGCCAAGACUUUUCUUCGCCGCCAUGAGCAGUGCUCCUCAGCCAGAGGACCGAAACCCUUCCAGCGGCCUUGCUGAAGUGAUAAUCAAAGACGCCAGGACUGAAAUUGGUGGGUCGGGGAAGACAAAUGGAGUACUGGGCAGUGAUGAAAGCGAGCUGCUGGCUGACAGUAGCUCCGGAGGAAACGGCAAUUUUCCGGGAAGUGGCGGCGACGGCGGCGGCGGCGGCGGCGGGGGGGGGGGGGGGGGGGUCGGGGGGGGAGGGGGAGAGGAGGCACUACGGGGCGNNNNNNNNNNNNNNNNNNNNNNNNNNNNNNNNNNNNNNNNNNNNNNNNNNNNNNNNNNNNNNNNNNNNNNNNNNNNNNNNNNNNNNNNNNNNNNNNNNNNNNNNNNNNNNNNNNNNNNNNAGGAAACGUCAAUUGUCCGGGAGGUGGCGGCGACGGCGGCGGCGGCGGCGGAGGUGGAGGUGGUGGAGAUGACGGUGAGAAUGGGGAAGAAGAUGAAUUCGGGCCGAUUUUGAAGUUUGAAGAAGUGAUCAGAGAGACGGAAGCUAGAGGAGCUACGCUUCCUGCUGAUAUGCUGGCGGCUGCCAAGAGUGAAGGGAUUCGCAAAUUGCUUCUAUUCAGAUACCUGGACUUGCAGGUAGUCAUGAUUCAAACUUCUAAGCUGUAUCUUUUUAGCAGCAUUUGGAUUUUAUUUGUUAGUUUUGCUUAAAGUUAGCUGCUUUUUCUCAUUUAAGGGUGCUGGAGGAGUUUUGGGAUUCGUAAUGAAGUCUUGCGCUAUCCUUCGCAAUAGAAUGCUGGCAGAUCCCUCCUUCCUUUUCAAAAUUGGAACUGAGGUCAGUAAUUGCAUCUAGCUUGAGGUUUCAUCAAUUUGGAUGGAAGUUUGAUUGUAGUUUUCGGUGCAGAUAGUGAUUGAUACUUGCUGUGCUACAUUUGCUGAAGUGCAAAAGAGAGGCAAAGACUUUUGGGCGGAGUUUGAACUGUAUCUUGCAGACAUGAUAGUUGGCGUGGUGGUUAACAUAGCUUUGGUUGGUAUGUUAGCACCAUAUGCACGGUUCGGGAAGCUAUCGGCUUCCAAAGGAAUCCUCGGUCAACUCCAAUAUGCUUAUGCAGCUCUUCCCAGUAGGUUAGUAGGUCCGAUACAAGAAAUCGGAAUUUACUCAUCAUAAUUCUAAGUAGUUUGUUUUCUGAGCAUGGCAUUGGUGCAGUGUUUUUGAAGCUGAAAGGCCAGGGUGCAGAUUCUCCAACAAGCAGAGACUUGCUACAUAUUUCUUCAAGGCAAGCUUGGUUUAACCUAGCUUGCAGCAAAUCUUAAAGCAUUUCCCUUUAUAACAUUCUGUCUUUUUUCUACAGGGUUUCUUGUAUGGAGGAGUUGGCUUUUCGUGCGGUAUCAUAGGCCAAGGCAUAGCAAAUCUCAUCAUGACUGCAAAGAGGUAUCCUUUAUAGCCCCAGAAACUUCAACGUAACAUAACAAAGAGUUAUCACAAGCGAGUGACAGUGUUCUUUUCAUUUCGGUUCAUCAUUUUGGCAUCCAAUUGCUUGUAUUCAGGAGUAUUAAGAAAUCGGAAGAAGACAUCCCAGUGCCACCUUUGGUGAAGAGUGCAGCUCUCUGGGGUAUGGCCACUCAUCAUUUUACUCCCUCUAUCGGAAAGUUCAAAGCUUUAACUUUCAUUCAUGCCAAACUCAAAAACCAAUCUCAUCAACCGGUUCUGUCUGUUUCCCUAAACCUUUUUGCAGGCGUUUUCAUGGCGGUCUCAUCGAACACCCGCUACCAAGUUGUCAACGGAUUAGAAUGCCUAGUAGAAGCUUCGCCCUUGGCGAAAAGGGUUCCCCCAAUCACGCUGGCAUUUACUGUUGGUGUCCGAUUCGCAAAUAACAUCUACGGAGGAAUGCAGUUCGUUGACUGGGCUAGACGGAGUGGUGUCCAGUAGUUUGGGGUAUACCCUUUUCGUAAUCACUUCUCAGGCGGGUGGGGAACGUUGUAUCAGUCUGUUGUAUCAUCAUUUUCCUUUUUGUGCCUGCAACGAUGAGAGUUUGAUCAGAUUGCCUUAGUACGACUAGUAGCUAGAACUUGAUAAAUAUUGCAAGAUUGUGUCUUUAUUGACCACAAAACAUGCCAUUGGUGAAUAAAACUGCCUUGAUCAUAAUAUAGGUUUGUCCUAUUUUUAUACGUUGCGCAUACGGCAGACUAUUUGUCAUAGGAAUGAAAUUCAUAUGACAGUUAUUAGCAAAAUAUAGGAAUUGAAGCAGUUUCUUGCUAGUUUAGUUUGAUUGAUUCUAUGUAAGAGUUCACUGCUAUAAAUAGCAUAAUAGCAAAGGAACCGGAUUUUCAGAAAGGAAAACUAACUGUAACUAGCCCAGAACUCCCAAAACACCUUCCCCUGUUUGAAUCUCGUACAGAAGGGAAUAACAAUCGACAGAAAAGAGAAAAAAUGAAGGAAGAAACUUCAGUGGCAGUUGAUGCUUCAAUGACGGAAGAUGACUCUCCCUUGGCUCCUCCUCCUAAUCGGCAGAGCCCGGCGGAUGGCAAUCCGUCAAAUACAUCCUUCAAACAUAGGGGGGAAAACAAAACUUUUGAUUGGAUCAUAUGAUUUUGCUAAUUCCAGUCUCUAGACAUAAAGUUACCUAAACCUAUUGGAAGUCCAACAUCAAUGACUCUUCUCUGUACAAAUACACUAGUAAAUAAGUAUUACAAAAUUGCAACUCGUCCAGAUAGUACACAUCGAAUACCACUGGGGAAUCCAAUCCCUUCUAACUAAAUUUCUUGUUCGUUUUUCUUAUCAUGAUUUAUGUGGGAGGACCAGAUAAGACCAUCUUUAGUGUAUCGUAGGUCAUGAAGACGAUGCCGACACCAGGAACCACCUAAUAGAAUUCGGGGAGGAUCCCUCUGUACUAUUGAAGAUUAAUCUACAAUUCUCUAGAUUAGUCUCUACAACUCUUUCAAAAAUAUCUCAACUCCUAACUACCAAAUUAAUUAAGAUGUGAUAUGUUAAAAUAAUUAAAAUUUUACAAACCACAAAUUCUACCUACUACUUGUAUCAUGGCUAUUAUAAAUAACCUCACUUGUAACAAAGUGGAGUAUGAGUUGAAGAAAUAAGAAAGAAGAAGUAGAGAGGCAUUUGUGAGUGGUGAGAGUAAAGGUCUAAGUGACCAAAUUGUAAUAUUUAUAAAAUUGAGUGAUCAAUUGAGUGAGUUAUCAAAAUACUAUCUUUCGAUCCUAAAUUCCGCUACAUUUUCGCUAGCGCCCCAACAAAUUUGGUAUCAGAGCUAAAGUUACUCUGAGUAUGCUCUGUGGUUGCGGUUUUAAUAACUGAUCUUUCACAUCCGAAAAGAUACACAUUUGAACUUUUAUAACACAAUUAUAAACUUCAAAAACUCUACCAAAAGAAUCCCCUCAAAAUCCUAUGGCAGCACCAUCGUCAAGUUCCAUGUUCGCCAACUCUCCAAAUCAAAUCCCAAUUUUUGAUGGAGAAUUGUACGAAUACUGGAAAGCACAAAUGGAGACUAUCUUCAUUUCGCAAGACUUGUGGGAUAUUGUUCAAGAAGGCAUCGAACAAUCACCACAAGAGAACGAUUCCACAUCAACCAAAGAAAGGCGGAAUUGGCAAAAGAUUACGAUCCCAAAACAAGCGGGACGAAGAUGAAGGAACAUAAGGAGAAUGUCAAGAGGAACGCCAGCACAUUGAGGAUAAUUCAGCAAGCUGUGAGCAAAACAAUACUUCUAAGAAUUUUUUAGCAUCAAAUCAGCCAAGGAAGCUUGGGAAGUCCUGAAGAAUAAAUUUCAAGGUUCCGAGAAGGCAAUCUCCAUAAAACGCCAAAAUCUAUGGCGUCAAUUUGACAACCUGGCGAUGAAAGAAGGCGAAAGUAUCAAAGACUUUCAUUCUCGUGUUGCAGAGAUAGUGAACCAGAUCAAAGUCACUGGAGAGACUAUCAAUGAGAAGAAGAUCGUGGAGACGAUCCUCUGCAGUCUAAUGCCGAAGUUUGAACACGUCGUCGUUGUCGAAGUUCGAGCACGUCGUCGCUGUCAUAGAAGAAACCAAAGAUCUUGCAAAAUUACCCAUGACGGAGCUUAUGGGAUCACUUGUAGCUCACGAGCAGAGAUUGAGUCGGUUUACUAACCAACAACUCGAACAAGCUUUUCAAUCGAAGGUCGACAUCAAAGGAGAGUAGAACCGCAAAGGGGGAAACUUCCCAAAGAAAGGAGGAAAACCGAAUUUCAAGAAAAGCAGCAACUGGAGCUAGAAUCAGGAGAAACAAAACAACUCCAACGAAGGAUGCAAAGUUUGCAAAAAAUCUAACCAUGCUACCAAAGAAUGCAGGUUCAGGUGUGCCAAGUGCAAAAUUCAAAAUCACUCUCAAAGAGAUUGCUGGUUUCAAAACAAGAAAGAAGAAGGUGAAUCAAGCUUCGCACAAAAGGACGAAGAAAAACUGGUGGGAUACACUUGCUUCAAAGUCGAGCAAAAAUCUCAACUUCCAUGGGUGAUGGACAGCGGUUGCAGUAAUUAUAUGACUGGAGAUCGGGAGUCCUUCACCGAGAUGGAUGAUACAUAUAAGUCCUACGUGAAGAUUGGAGACGGUAAAAAGCUGGAAGUUGAAGGAAAGGGUACAAUCAUUGUACAAGAAAAUGGAGGUAACAAAACUCUAAUCCAAGAAGUUUUGUACGUUCCUGAAUUAGCUCAAAAUCUUCUAAGUGUUGGACAACUAAUGCUUAAAAAUUACAAGCUAUUGUUUGAUAACGGAGAAUGUGAGAUUAUCAACAAAUCCAACAACUCAAAGGUAGCGAAAAUUCCGAUUUCCAAUAGGAUGUUUCUUCUCACAAUGUCGAGGAAUGAAGAAUUAGCAAUGAAGAGCCAAAGCAUGGAUGAAUCUUUCCUAUGACAUCUUCGAUAUGGACACCUAAACUACAAAGGCCUCAAACAGUUGAAGUAUAAAAAUAUGGUGGUUGGUCUUCCCCAAAUCAACAGAGAAGACAAGGUCUGUGAAGGAUGUAUAUAUGGCAAAAUGCAUCGCCUGCCAUUUCCAAAAACUACUUGGAGAGCAAAAGCACCACUAGAGUUGGUACACGCUGAUAUUUGCGGACCAACUAGAACAACAUCCAUAGGUGGUAAGAGAUACUUUCUACUAUUUGUGGAUGAUCAUACUAGAAUGAUGUGGGUAUUCUUUCUUGAGCAAAAGUAAGAAGCUUUCUCCAAGUUCCUUCAAUUCAAAGCANNNNNNNNNNNNNNNNNNNNNNNNNNNNNNNNNNNNNNNNNNNNNNNNNNNNNNNNNNNNNNNNNNNNNNNNNNNNNNNNNNNNNNNNNNNNNNNNNNNNNNNNNNNNNNNNNNNNNNNNNNNNNNNNNNNNNNNNNNNNNNNNNNNNNNNNNNNNNNNNNNNNNNNNNNNNNNNNNNNNNNNNNNNNNNNNNNNNNNNNNNNNNNNNNNNNNNNNNNNNNNNNNNNNNNNNNNNNNNNNNNNNNNNNNNNNNNNNNNNNNNNNNNNNNNNNNNNNNNNNNNNNNNNNNNNNNNNNNNNNNNNNNNNNNNNNNNNNNNNNNNNNNNNNNNNNNNNNNNNNNNNNNNNNNNNNNNNNNNNNNNNNNNNNNNNNNNNNNNNNNNNNNNNNNNNNNNNNNNNNNNNNNNNNNNNNNNNNNNNNNNNNNNNNNNNNNNNNNNNNNNNNCAGUCCAACGAGAGAUAACUUUAGAGAUGUCGUGACAGAUUCAGACUCACCUCCAUUAAAGGUCAGGUCGUUAAGAGAAAUUUAGUGACAGAUUCAGACUCACCUCCAUUAAAGGUCAGAUCCUUAAGAGAAAUUUAUGAAUCAAGUCACGUAGCAUAUUUUUCUUGUGAACCCCAGACAUUUGAUGAAGCGGCAAAAGACAAAGUCUGGACAGAAGCAAUGGACACGGAGAUCUUAAUGAUCGAGAAGAACAAGACUUGGGAGCUUGUUGAGAAACCAAAAGACAAACCGGUCAUAGGUUUAAAAUGGAUCUACAAGACCAAAUUUAACGAAGACGGUUCCAUCCAGAAGCAUAAAGCAAUAUUGGUGGCAAAAGGCUAUUCACAACAGCCUGGCAUCGACUUUCACGAAACCUACGCACUAGUAGCGCGAAUGGAGACAAUAAGAACAGUCAUAGCACUAGCAGCUCAAAUAGAGUUACCAAUAUUCCAACUAGACGUCAAGUCAACAUUCCUCAAUGGAACACUAGAAGAAAAAGUCUAUGUGGAACAACCACGAGGAUAUGAGAAGAAAGGAGAAGAAGACAAAGUCUAUCGACUCAAAAAGACGCUCUACGGACUCAAACAAGCACCUCGAGGAUGGAACAACAGAAUUGAUCGAUACUUUCAAGACAACGGAUUUCAAAGAAGUCCAAGUGAAGCAUCUCUCUUCAUCAAAAAGGGAGAAAACAAAAACUUUCUUAGCUUAUGCUUAUAUGUUGAUGACUUAAUCUAGUCAGGCACAAGUCCACAAAUGAUUGAAGAAUUCAAAAGGGCAAUGAUGUCAGAGUUUGAGAUGACAGACUUAAGACUCAUGAAGUAUUUGUUGGGAAUUCAAGUAAAACAGAAACCUGGAGAAAUAUUCAUCUCUCAAGAGAAGUAUACUGAAGACAUGUUAAAGAGAUUUCACAUGGCAUCGUGCAAGCCCAUAGCAACACCAAUGGCGUUGAACGAGAAAUUGCAACAAGAUGAUGGAGCAGAAAAAGUUGACGGAAAAGUCUACAGAAGCCUAUUCGGAUCGCUCAUAUAUCUGACACACACAAGACUAGAUAUAUGUCACUCAGUAAGUCUCAUUUCAAGAUUUAUGAGUGAGCCUAGAAAACUUCAUUUUGCAGCAGCGAAGAGAAUCCUACGAUACCUCCAAGGCACUAAACAAUUGGGCCGAAGGUAUAAGAAGGAAGAAGGAAGCAAGCUAAUGGGAUACACCGAUAGUGACUGGGCAGGAUCACUAGAUGACCGAAAGAGUACAUCUAGUUACAUAUUUUUCCUAGGUACAAAACCAAUUUAUACGUUAAGAAGUAUUUCCUAGGAAUUCAAGUCGAGCAGAAACCUGAAGAAAUAUUCAUCUCUCAAGACAAAUAUACCGAAGACAUGUUGAAGAGAUUUCAAAUGGCAUCGUGCAAGCCCAUAGCAACACCAAUGGCGUUGAACGAGAAAUUGCAAUAAAAUGAUGGAGCAGAAAAAGUUGACGGAAAAAUAUACAGAAGCCUAUUCGGAUCGCUCAUAUAUCUGACACACACAAGACUAGAUAUAUGUCACUCAGUAAGUCCCAUUUGAAGAUUUAUGAGUGAGCGUAGAAAACUUCAUUUUGCAGCAGCGAAGAGAAUCCUACGAUACCUCCAAGGCACUAAACAAUUGGGCCGAAGGUAUAAGAAGGAAGAAGGAAGCAAGCUAAUGGGAUACACCGAUAGUGACUGGGCAGGAUCACUAGAUGACCGAAAGAGUACAUCCUCACUUGUAACAAAGUGGAGUAUGAGUUGAAGAAAUAAGAAAGAAGAAGUAGAUAGGCAUUUGUGAGUGGUGAGAGUAAAGGUCUAAGUGACCAAAUUGUAAUAUUUAUAAAAUUGAGUGAUCAAUUGAGUGAGUUAUCAAAAUACUAUCUUUUCGAUCCUAAAUUCCGCUACAUUUCCACUAGCGCCCCAGGAUGUACGAGCCUCGCAAGCCUUCGUUCUUGAAUAUGUGCCCGAACGUCCCGAGAAAGCCUCCUGAGUAAGCACGAGCUUUACCACCAGCUCCUUCUAACUGCAUUCUUGUCUGCACAAGGUCGAUGGGAAAUGUCGCUGCAAGAGUCAUAAGCAUGGUGCCAGAAAUCAGUAAAACAAAGCAUUCAGGGCAUUCUCAAGGAAAUGUGUCUCUGUUUAAGGUUUUCAUAUGGAAGAACAAAGGAACUAAGAGAACGCCGACUUACCCGUUGAAGCAGCAAUGCCAGACAGGCUGCCACAACCAAGGCUAACCAUUGUAGUGGAAUCUUUCGGCCUAAGGUAGAUAAGAAAAGCAUCAUCAUGAAUGAGUGUUUACAAUAAAGCACGUAAGAAAAGAACAGAAAGAACAUAUAGAAAACUAAAGUUUCACCUUUCAGCUUCCCAGAAAGAUUUGAGACUCGUAUACACAAAAUCCUAUGGCUAGGCUUGGUCCAACACCCUGCAACAGAGAACCACAAAAAAAAGUUCUCAGCUUUGCAACAGAACAGCACAGAACAAAUGGAACAAAACUCAAAGAACCAAACUUUACCAAUAGUGUAGGGCCGAGUCCUUUGUACAGUCCAAAGAACUCUUCUUCCUUGAAAAUGGUACUGAACGAAUGCAAAAUACUCUAUAGUACAACGUGUUUCUCUGCCAAAACAAAAAAAUAACAUUAGGGAAAAACCUCAACAGCCCACUAUCGAGAUCUAGUGACUGCAAAUACCUGGGUUGCCAGACGAGUCCGAGCAAGAUCCAAUGGAUACCUAGCAGAGGCAGCGGUUACCCCGGCCAAACCUCUACCGACGAAACAUACAGCUACAUCGGCUUUCAAGUUCCCUCCCUGUCUCUCCAGGCCGAAAAAUGAUUGCAAACGCUGUAAUGGUAAAAAAACUUUCAGAUGAGUUCCCUAGCAGAAACAGAUUGAGGGAAAGAAGGGAACACUCACAUCACUCUUAAAUUGUUCAUAGGCAUAGAAGUUCACUGCGGAAUAAGGAACACGGUGAGCAAUUGUGACUAGAUUUCCUCUCCAAAUUGCUCUAAACCCUUCCUCGUUAAAUAUACGCAAAGCUUCUCGUGAAAUGGUGGACUAAUGACCAGCAAAAAAACAUGGCAGAAACACUAAUUUGGGAAUGUGGGGCAGACCUGGAAAAGGAUUGUGAGGCGAGCCAUGGGAGUAGUGCAGGUUUUGCUAAAGGCGCCGGCGUUUCCACCGGCGAGCAUGUACUGGAGGCUUCCGACAUGGGAUUGAUGCUGUUGGAGUAACUUGCGGGAACCAGCAGCGUCGACGACGGUUCCGGCGGCCACGGAAUUGAGAGCUCUCUGGCCACCCUCCACAACCACGCCAACCCUAGCUUCCAUGUUCCGCCGGCGGCGACGGUUUCAGAGCCCGUUAGUGUAAUUCGUUUCAGCUGAAGAUCGGUGUGACAUAGGGUUUAAUGUUCGAGCAUCUGUUGAUAGUACGAGGAUGAGUGGAGAUGGUAAGAAUGGAAAGAGACGAAAACACUAGUUGUGUUGUAAGGAAGAGGCGAAGAGCAAGAACCCUACAGCGGCCGGCGGGGGAAACUGUGAACGCAGGUUUUGUGACACAAUUUUACUGUUACAACAUUAACAACCUUUUUAUUCACAAUAUUAUAAACCGGAGAAAAGUAAGCAGUUGAAAGAAAUAAGAGAAAAACACAAGCGACCAAACAGUGGUGACCACCAACCUAGUACUGUUCCACAUUUGCAUGCAUUGCCAAAAUUGUGGCCUUGGUCGUACGACCUUUUACCAAUACUGUCCCCCAUUCUUUUUCUAACAGGGUCAACUGUGACCUAUUCAGCUUUUCGUGCAUAAUGGUUUCAGAAACUAAUUCACCAAAAACAUUAGUCAUGUCGUGGUGCAUCCGGGCUAAUGAUUUUCAUGUCCAAUUCGCAAAAAAAAUCAAAAUGAAGCAUUAAGUCGUUGGUGCUUCGGGAGACUAUGUAUAUUGUUUUUGGUAGGUCAAUGUUGCAGGCAUGAGGCAACUACUGCUCUCUAGAGCCUGCAUAUCCUAUCCGAGGGUUUCGACUACACAUCGAAGGCGUCUUGUAUCAUCCACUAGCCGGAUUGGUGUAUGAUCGGGUAAGGAUUGAAGCCCAGAUGUAGAUCAAGGCCCACCCAUACGUUAGCCUAGCCGAAUUAGUGUCUGAAGCUGCUGGAAUUAGGAAUUAAAGAGCAUCUAUUUGUUUCUCUGUUUGUUAUCGUUAUCAACAUUGGAGAAGUAGAUUUCUUCUCUGUUCAUGAAUCGAGGAACUAAGGAAGUAUAGAAUAGACAACUAUAAAAUAUUAAGACUAUAAAAGUUAGGGUCCAACCAAGACUAUCUACUGUAGUUUAUAAACAGUAAUUCCACUCUACCAUUUCAUCGGCCGGUCUGAUUGGUUACUGUCGACCCACCCAUACGGGCUGUAUCGGAUUACGGAUUGUUUCGGGUUAGACUAUUUCGGGUUGACCCUAAUCCUAAACUUUCGAGCUGAGUUGCGUGUCAUUUAAUAUGCACUAUAAAAUUUUCCCGGUCAGCAAGUCGACCCUAACCCCGACCUUAACCCACCUACAAAAAUAAAUAUACUUGAAUUUGACUAAUUAAAAUUAAACGAAAAAAAUGAAAAUAGUAAGUUAUAGAAAUAGGUAUAUAAUAGUUUGUAGCGAGAAAAAUAAACACAAAUUAAUAACGUCACGUAUACCCAACACAUUUGCAUUGAAAGCACGAAUAAGCUAAAUAUCCAUCAAAAUUUUUAAAAAAGAUUUAACAAAUCACUAAUGAUAUUGUUGAAUAAAAGAUUUGUGAUUUUUAGAAAGUUAAGUAUAAUAUUUUUUAUAUGUGAUGUUCAUGAAUUAUAAUAUCUAAUAAAAGAAAUAAAAUAAAAAAUAGUAUUAAGAUAUUCAAAAACUUUUGGAUAAUGUUAAAAAACUAAUUUUAAUAUGCACUAUAAGAGUUUUUGUUGAAUGGAUCGACUCUAAAUCCGACCUUAAUCCAACUAAAAAGUCGGAUUGUUGAUUGAGUUUGAAUCAUUUCGUUUUCGGGCGGAUUUAGUUUGGAUCCUAAGUUGCCAAUUGCGCGAUCUAGAGCGAACGUUUCCCAAUACCAGCUCAUCGGGUGAUCCGAAAAGUCUUUAACGUUGUAGGUAUAUAUGUGGACUUAUUAUGUUUUGGUACUUAAAUUAUAGAUAAAAUCACUAUAAUACAUAAACUUUUAAAAAGAAUAACAGCAUAAUGUACAUAAACUUAUAAAAAAAAUGUGCAAUGUCUUAUGGUUUUCAUAGGUUAUAUUUUGAAAUUUAACUUUGUAUACAAUUAGUGUGAUCUGGUUUAAUCAAAAGUUGCAUGAUCCUGCUUAAUUAUAUUAUUUAUUUAAUUCAUAAUUAAAAUGAUAUGAACUUGAUCGAACCAUUAAACUCUGAACCAUCAACCUCAUCAUUUCGAUCUCCAAUCCGGUUUUGAAAACGAUGGUAUGAACUAUAUUAUCCAAUUAUAACGAAAUUAUUUGAACUUAAUUGUUAUGUUCUUUAUAUUAGAUUUCACAAUUACAUACAAUUGUUAAACAUGAGUGUAUAAUGUUUAAUAAUGAUCGAAUUUGAGUUUUGCUCGUCAUGAACCCCCUCAAAAUAGUAUUCGUUAAAAGUCCAACCUGACAGAUCCAUAUUCGUUUAAAGUCCAACCUGGCGGAUCCUUAUUUAGUUGGCUGAAGUUGUUUAUUGUUUAUAAGUGUCGACUGUGUACUGCUUUUGUGUGUUCUCUGGAACAAGAACUAAGUUGUUUAUUGAGAUAUUUUAAUUGUUCUUGUUUGAUAGUAACAGUGAUUUGGCUCUAAGUAAGAAGUGCUUUGUUUGGUUUAAGUUCAGAUUUAGUAUUACUAAGGUUCGUGUCUCACUCUGUUGGAUCAUUGGCAGAGUAUCUAUCUGGUGAGGUAGACGGAUCUCAUUACAACAUUAUGUUGUGUUAUUUACUAUUGAUUCUUGCAUUUUUGUCUAUGCUACUCUUGAAAAUCUAAGAUGUAAUUAGUUAUAUGUAUCAAAGUCUAGGGGGAUGACAACGCUAAUGAUUCAGGGACAUUUGAUGAGUUUGGCCGUAAUCCUGAGAAUAUAUUAAAGAUUGGACAACAAUGUCCAUUGUUGGCCUCUUGUUUCUGUCUUCAUCAACACAAGCCAAUCCGAUUUCGAUCAUUUUUGCCGCCUGUUUGUGACUAAACUUCCCUUUUAAUUUCGCAUCCACUAUCUUCUGAUCAUCAACCCACGACUCUCUUCCUGCAGACAUGAUUUUCCUUUUGGAUAUCUUGAUAAACCUAGACAACUCAGCUUCCUCCUCCUCAACCAUGUGGGAAAGCCUGAUGCCUUUCACCAGUUCAAGAAUCACAACUCCAUAGUUGUACACGCCGACCUUCGCUGUAAUGGGGAGAUUUGAAGCCCACUCUGGAGCCAUGUACCCUUUUUGUCCCUCUGAUCUUGGUGAACUGAGAGUUGUUGUUGUUCCUCUGCGACAACUUUGCGAGCCCGAAAUCAACAAUGUUUGGCUCAAAGUCGUCAUCCAAGAGUAUGUUCCUGGGCUUCACAUCGCAAUGUAUGAUCCAUUCGAGGCACUCGUGGUGAAGAUAAGCCAAUCCUUUCACCGUCCCCAAAGCAACCUUGAACCUUACUUCCCACUCGAGAGAGGUUGUCCCACUGCUUGAGAAAAGAUAAUUAUCUAGUGAUUGGUGCUUCAGAUACUCAUACACCGACAUCAUAUGCCUGUUAUCGGAACAGAACCCCCAUAUUCUCACCAGGUUCAUAUGGUUGAUCUUCCCGAUCGUGGUAACCUCUGCCCAGAACAUAUCCUCGCCUAGAUAUGAAUCUCUGAGUCUCUUCACAACCACAACCCUUUCGUCAACCACAACACCUCUAUACACAACCGAUGGCCCUCCCCUUCCAAAAUCUUCCUUGAAAUUCUUGGUUGCUUUCUUCAGCUCUCCAUAGCUAAACCUCUGAAACUACUAUCGUAUGAAACCCCAUCUCCGCUGAAUCUGGCAUCCUUAGCAUUGCAUAAGAAACCACCAACCUAUACCUAUCAAGAGGAUCUCAAUCACUUUCUUGGUUUCUAUCUCGUACAUAGACUGAGAACCAAUCUCGAUCCUUGAUCCGCCUGUUUCACAAACAAUGUCGCUGCCAUUGAGAACUGGAGGCCUAGAUGCUGCUGACGCUUAUUCCACAACAUCAACGCUUAGUGGCUGCUUCAAACAGUAUACUUUUUGUAUAACACACUACUUCUCCGGUCUGCCUAUAGCUAUAUGCAUCACACUGACAAUCGUCCAAGAAAAGAUCCCUACAAGUCUCCAUCGAAACUUGUGGACUGUAAUUGAGGUCAAACCCCCAGAAAUCCACAUGUGGAACUUUAACAAUUUUCACCUGAUUCCUUCCAAGACAUGAUCUUUUGAAAACCGGUUUACACCCUUUACUCCAAUCUUUAUGAUCAUUGACUUGAUACCCAAGAGCAUAUGAACAUUUAGGAACCGGAGUGUACAAGCAUAUCCCAAGAGCAUAUGAUCAUUGGCUUGAAACGUCAGGGCCAUCAUAGAUCAUCCUCAAUACAUUAUCAUUGUAGAAAAAGAUGCUGAAAUAACCCGACCCAUAAUUGCCCCGACCCAAAUUCGAGACCAAAGUAGAACGCUUUCUGAAGAGUUGGGUCGGUAACAGAGUGUCAGUAGCGGAAUCGAAGCUCUGCCACAGUGUUUUACAUUGUCGAUUUUUAGGACGAGGUUGCUGGAGUUGAGAAGCUCGGCGAAGGAUGCGUCAGUGGAGCUUGUGUUGGUCUCCUAAGCGAGGAAACCGUUAAAGUCGGUAAAGGCAAAGAUGCUGUUUGGACGGAAGGAAAGGUUGGAGCCUUUGGAGUUGACCGGUCUGUUUCGAUUGGCUGUCUAGACCACGGUUCGGUCGUUGGAGUUUGUGAACGAGAUUGAGAACCAGUAGGCAUUUUGGUUUUCUCCCAAGGAGUAGAAACCGCAAGUGAAGGUUUUGUCUCGGGAAAUGAGCAAGUCUGUUGUUUGUGAUUCUAGUGAUAGGGAUGAUCCUCUCUGAAGCUGGGAUUUUUCGUUGUUUAUGGGCUGUGAAGAAAUCUGAUGAGGGAAUAGAAUGACGAUGGAAAAGAUGAGGAUGAUGAAAAAGGUUGUAGCUUUACAAGUUUGGAGCUUCUCCAUUUUUUUGCCCCGCUGGUGGAUUACGAAAUUUCAGUACUUGGAACAGAGAAAUCAGAAAGAAGAAGAAAAAGAAGUGAUUGUGAGUCUUCGUUGGUGGCGGGGAAGUUGCUUUAGAAGUUGUGAUGCUGAAUGGAAGUUUCCAUGUGGGAAAAAUGGAACCGUUUUCGAAAGUAUGGAUGGAGAGAUUUAGACAUUUCAGAUGAUCUUUAAUUUUGCGAGUUUGACUAAUCCAACAAAAUCAUGUAAAAUUCUGUCACUCGUAAACUCUCGACUAAAAUGCAGGUUCUGAGUAACAACUUCCAAGCCAUCCAUCACAUGAAAAACCCUUCAACGCCACUAUGAUCCAUACCAAACCGUGGAGCUCCGAACGUGGUGGGCGGUUCUAAUAACCCUAUCACUUGGUGCCGAUAUAGACCAAGUGCUUGCGACCAUAAAUACCGGUAUAAUUUUAAGUUCUCUAGGUUGCACUUCAAUCAAACCUAUGCAAUUUUGGUGACGAAGCGCUGACUCUGCUACUCCCCCAAUGAUAUGAAGACUCGAUGCAGAGAUAGCGACGUGGAUGGUGAUGUCAGCACCUACUUCCUCAAAUUCCCUGUCCAAGUCGACGAUGACCUCUCUGUUUUUCGGCUUCUACCUUAGCCAUCUGAUCCCAUAAGCCAUGUUUCGUUGCUAAUAGGUAAUAUGAUGCUAUCGACACUACUUCUCCUAUAUGAUUGCUCCAAGUUUAAAUCCGAGUUUGCUUCAAAUUUGCAGGAGGUAGUCGGGUGUCUCCUACUGGCGACCCUUUCCCUCAAUUUGAUUCCCGCUAUUGUCAAUACCCAGGCCUUUCGAAUUUGUUGGGGCGUUAGCGGAAAUGUAGUGAAAUUUAAGAUUGAAUAAGAUAGUAUUUUGAUAACUCACUCAAUUAAUUACUUAAUUUUGUUGAUAUUAAAACUUGGUCACUUGACCAAUUUACUCCCUCACGCAGACAACUCUUUUGCUUACAACUCACUUUUAUUUUGUUUUCAAUUUGUAUUCUCUCUGCUUUCUCAACUCACACCAACACUACCUAUUUAUACUCUAAUUUUAAAAAUAUAAUAAUGAGGAUAUUUUUGCAAUCCUCUUCACGACUUUGCAUAUGUGGUUGUAAGUUUCUUUAUUUUUUUGUUCAAGACAUUAAUAAGAUUAGGUUGGUAGAUGAGAUAAGCUUGUAGUAUGUAGAAAUUUCCAGUGUAGGAAAUGUCCAGAUUCUUCAAGAUUGCUGAUUACUGUCUUUUAACACCCCCUCUUAAUCUGCAAUCUGGAAUAGAUGUUUGAACUUCUCGAAUUUCUCCUUUGUAACGGCCUUCGUCAUGAUAUCUGCCGGCUGAUCAUCUGUGUUGAUGAAUUCCAUUGUGAUUUCUCCAUUGUUGACUAGAUCUUGUAUGAAAUGAUGUCGUAACUCGAUAUGUUUUGACCUUACGUGAAAUACUGGAUUCUUCGUCAUGGCUAUGGCUGACAUGUUGUCACAGUAAAUAAUGGUUGGUUUAUUACCUUGUUGCAAGUCUUCAAUUAAUCUUUUUAUCCAUACUGCCUUGCAUGCUGCAUCUGUGCUGCAUCUGUAGCUGCAAUGUAUUAUGCUUCUGCGGAUGAUAAUGCCAUAGUCUUCUGCUUCUUUGAGCUCCAAGAAAUUGGUUUUGUACCUAAGCAAAAUAUGUAACCAGAUGUAUUGUUUCGAUCAUCUAGUGAUCCUGCCCAGUCACUAUCGGUGUAUCCGAUUAGCUUGCUUCCUUCUUCCUUCUUGUACCUUAGGCACAAUUUUUUAGUGACUUGGAGGUAUCAUAGGAUUCUCUUUGCUACUGUAAAAUGAAGUUUGCUAGGCUCAUUCAUAAAUCUUGAAAUGAGACUUAUUGAGUGACAUAUAUCUGGUCUUGUGUGUGUCAGAUGUAUGAGCGAUCCGACUAGGCUUCUGUCAAUUUUUCCGUCAACUUGUUAUGCUCCAUCAUCUUGUUGUAGUUUCUCGUUCAACGCCAUUGGUAUCGCUAUGAGCUUGCACGAUGCCAUGUGAAAUCUCUUUAACAUGUUUUCAGUAUACUUCUCUUGAGAGAUGAAUAUCUCUCUAGGUUUCGGCUUUACUUGAAUUCUCAAGAAAUACUUCAUGAGUCCUAAGUCUGUCAUUUCGAACUCUGACAUCAUUACCCUUUUGAAUUCUUCAAUCAUUUGUGGACUUGUGCCUGUAUAGAUUAAGUCAUUCACAUAUAAGCACAAAAUAAUAAAGUUUUUAUUUUCUCCCUUUUUAUAUAGAGAGAUGCUUCACUUGGACUUUUUGGAAUCUGUUGUCUUGAAAGUAUCGAUCGAUUCUGCUGUUCCAUGUCCGUGGUGCCUGUUUGAGUCGAUAGAGUUUGUCUUCUUCUCCUUUCUUCUCAUAUCCUCAUGGUUGUUCCACAUAGACUUCUUCUUCUAGUAUUCUGUUGAGGAAUGCUGACUUGACGUCUAGCUGGAAUAUUGGUAACUCCAUUUGAGCUGUUAGUGUUAUGACUAAUCAGAUGGUCUCCAUUCGCGCUUCUGGUGCGUGUUUCAUGAAAGUCGAUGCCAGACUGUUGUGAAUAGAUUUUUACCACCAAUCUCGCUUUGUGCUUCUCGAUGGAACCGCCUUCGUUAAAUUUGGUCUUGUAUAUCCGUUUUAGACAUAGGACCGGCUUAUCUUUUGGUUUGUCCACGAGCUCCCAAGUCUUGUUCUUCUCGAUCAUUGAGAUCUCCGUGUCCAUUGCUUCUGUCCAGACUUUGUCUUUUGCUGCUUCUUCAAAUGUAUAGGGUUCACAAGAAAAAUAUGCUACGUGACUUGAUUCAUAAAUUUCUCUUAAGGAUCUGACCUUUAAUGGAGGUGAGUCUGAAUCUAUCAUGAUGUCUCUGACCUUAUCUCUUGUUAGACUCGUUGUUGGACUUCUUCCUUGGCAUAGAUUUUGAUCCACCUCAUUUGGUGUUGUUGGUGUAGUUGUUGGAUUCUCCAGGAUCUCAUUUUUAUGGAGGUUGAGUAUCCCAAUUUUCCCAAUUCCACUCGGCCAUUUUGUCGAAGAUAACAUCUCAUGAAAUCACCACCUCGUUCUUUAAUGGAUUGUAGAGUCUAUAGCCUUUAGAUUCAUCGCUAUAUCUGAUGAAGAUGAGUUUCUCUCCUUUCUGGUCGAUCCAGUUCAUGGGAUGAAGAUGACAUGGGGACAAUUACCGAAACAGUCCCUGGAAAUUUCAUUUAUCACGAGUUGAUCAAAAAAAUUCCAGUAAUUCUUAUAUUUCUAGAAAUUAUAUUACAUGUACCAAACUUUUAAAAUAAGACAGUUCAGACGUCAACUGCACCUUAUUUCUGUCGUGACAUCUAACUUUUUAUUUGUGACAGAAUUUACCAAACAACAUAUUGAUGGGUUCAAUUAGUCCGGAUAGUUGUGCGUUCGAUUAAUUUGGUAAAUUUUUAAUUAGUGAAUAAUUUAUUAACCAAAUAAUUUUUUUGUUUUAAAAACCUAAUUAUUAUGCCGUUGGAGAUCUCGUGUUCUUAUAUGCAGGUAGAUUGCAGUUGGUACGUUUUGUUCUUGGGCCUCAAAAUCAAUUUUGUUGUUAAUUUUUUUUGUCAAAGGCAGUGAUUAAAGGAGUUAACAGAAUGUGGAGUAAUUAUCUCUGGAAAAUUAAAAAAAGUGAGAAGAAAAAAGCAAAGUUGGAUUGCAAACAUGUGCUCUACUAAAAACGGAGGGAAAUCUUGGGAUUAGAAACUUGGAAGUUUGGAAUAUGACUUAUAUUGCAGGGCAUUUAUGAUAUGCAAGAUUUUUGUGGAUGGCAUGGAUUUAGAUGUAUUGAAUUAAAGAUUAAUUAUUUGGAAUUGUUGUGAAACUUUUUAUCAUUUUUGAACGUAAAAACGUAUUUUGAAGAUUAACAAUUAGAUUUUUCCUUUUAUUUUCACAAAUUCAUAUAGUUUUUCUUUAUGAAAUAGGAAUCCAAUGUUUAAAUUCUCUAUUUCUUUGAUCUAGAGAACGAUGCGCUAAAUCUUUGGUGAAAUGAUGUAAAACUGUUUUUAAAAUCUUAUAUCCCUAAGCAUUCAUUGUGUGGCUUGAAAUUAUUUCAAAUACUACAUAUUUUGUUUUGGUUGCCAAACGAGUCAUUUUGAUGAGGUAUUUGUAAUAAUUUGAAAGUGAGUCAUUUGAAAUACAACGGUCUGGAAUAUCAUAUAUUGUGUGUUAGAUGCCAAACGAAAUGUUUUGGCUGAAAUAACUCAAAACGAGUCAUUUUGGCCAAAAUAUCAUACCCAAAUACCUCAUCUAAAUGACCUAUAAAUUUAAAAAUUUAGUUAAUCUCAUGAUUGGAGUAAUUAUAAUUUUUAAAACGAUUAAAUUGUUAUAACCCUAUUUAGCCAUAUUGUAUUUUAUACAGAGGGUCACGAUUAGCCUUAAAAUGCUUGAACAUAAAAAGUGGGUGGGGUCGCAUGACAACCAAGUGAUCUCUAUUCUAUUUCUUCAGGGUAAAAAGCAUACACUUUUGUGUAGCAUAUAGUGGCCUCUUUGGAUUGUAUUCAAAGAGUCCCAUUGGUUGUCUAUUUCUCAAAGUUUUCGUUCCCAACAGCAUAAAAGUGUAAUAAUGUUCAUUAUUAGUAGACAACCGCCAGCCAAAGAUGAGAAGGAACAAUGAUUAAACCUUCUAAUUAUCUCCAUACGUUGGUAGUACUAAUUUGAUUACAGCCAUACUGUUGUCAGGCCAACUAUAAAGAUUUCAAUAAAAAUGUAUAUGCUCACUGAGCUGGAAAAAUAGCUAAUGACUGUAAGUCUGUGACCGUGUAAGGAUGAGAUGGACGUACGUGUCCCGACAUUGCAAAAGGCAACCAAAUAUAUAUAUACCGCAGCCACAUGGACUGGACUUGUGAGGUACUGGAUAGGGCAUCUGCAGAGACUUAGUAUAUCGUCCCACUGCACACAGUUGGAUUUCUACACUUUUUAAUUUUUUGUGGGUGUAGUGAGUGAAGAGUUACUUUCGACUUGCUUAUGAGAAUUCUUUCUUAGUAGCUGGAGUUAUUAUUAUGUAAUUUUUUUGUCAGAUUUACUUUUUUUCGCUUAUGUAUAUUGAUGAUAUAAUUUUUAUUGGGAGCAAUGUUUAGAGAAUUAAAGUGUUAUCGAUAUACAUCAAAUGAUGAGCAUCAUUUUAAACUCGUGAAGCUUGAUGAGUUAUCUUAUUUUCUUGGUAUUCAAAUAUCCUGAUUUUUUAAUGAUGUUUUCAUUUAUCAAAAAAAGUAUGUGGCUGAUUUUUUGACCACAUACAAACCUUACCUUUUAUAAAAGAUUUUGUUUAAAAGAUAGUGUCAAUAAAUAAUAUAAAUCGUCUUCCAAGUCCAAACAACGCAACUUGAACUAUUAAACUUUUAGUGACAACUUACCCAUCAACGUUUUCUAUUUAUGUGUGAACCACCUGCCCAUGUGGCAACCAGUUGGACCAAUUGAAAUUAACCACCUAAAAAUGAGUAUGACCUGCCCAUUUCGAAACGCACCCAACCAAACCAAACCCUUCAUACAGCCUGACGCCAUGGAAUUUGACAUUAUUCAGUCCAUUCAGCCCAUUCAGCCGUUAAACUUGAGAAUUUGGCUGUCCACAAACUUGUCACUUGAAUCCAGUCCAUUGUUGAUUAUACCAGUACCACUCACUACAUCAACGGUCCACAUUAUCAAGUUUAUUAUUAAUUUAUUUGUUUUUCCUCUCUAACCUGUCCCUUCUAUUUUAUCAUCCAGUUUCUCUUCAUAUUCUCACCCAGAACCCUCACUUUCUCAAAGAUGGACCCUCUGUUCCUAUUGGUCCAGAAAAAUUAAUAAAAUAAAAUAAUAAUAAUAAGCCACCGCCUCUAAUUUAGUGCAUAUGAAAAUUAGUUGGGGAUUCAACUAAUUGAAUGCAACAACCAAUUGCUUUCAAUUUCACUUGUUUAAUAAUUGAGAUAAGUUAUCUCAAUUGGGUAUAUAGGUGAGUGGUAGAAAGUCCCAGUAAAUGUUUUACCGUGGUAGGAAAACUUUCUUGUGAGCGAUAAAAUAGUGAAUAGUUGUUUUGGGGUUGGGAAACACCUGAGAGACACUAUUUUUGGAUCGACUCGGGUCACCUUGUAGCUAUCUUGUUAUAGUGAAGAAGUGCUCGUAGCUGUUGCUGCUGCCGUAGAUGUACUCUCCGCAUUGGAGAGGAAUUACGUAAAUCCCGGUGUUAUUUACUUACUGUUUUGUGCUUGACAAUUUCGAGAAUAUUCGUUGUAUAUUGCAUUAUUAAUAUUACCACAGUAAAUUGGUCUAAGGAGGUUGACUUAAUUAUCAUCAUUAUAGUAUUGCGGUAGUAAUCACCCAUCCAUAGUGAUUUUAUGUCAUUAUAGUAUUGCGGAGGUAAUCACCCAUCCAUAGUGAUUUUAAGUGUGGCGGACUACCGCCACUUCCAACCUGUCUGUGAAAUAUUUAUGAUAUGUGGUUUAUUAGUAUAAUAUAUUUACUCUAUUCUCGUCCUCUACGCUCCAACAGUGGUAUCAGAGCCCAGUUCAAUAUGGAGGCCAUGCCAAGCAAGAUGGUUAGUUUGAACGGUGCAAACUUUCGUAUCUUGAGAAGCAAGACGAAGGAUCUCCUGUUGGUAAAAGAUUUAGAUCAAUCGUUGUCAUCAUCAACUAAGCCAGCCACUAAGAGUGACGGGGAUUGGAAGCGCAAGCACGAGAAGGCGUGUAGUUAUAUUCGACACCAUGUCGAUGAUAACGUACGCAACCACAUCGCUGGAGAGACUGAUGCGUUGAAGCUUUGGAAAAAUCUGGAGGGGCUUUAUGCUUCAAAGACCGGAAAUAACAAACUCUUUUAUCUCACGAAGAUGGUGCAUAUGAGAUACAAAGAGGGCACUUCCGUUACAGAUCAUUUGAACGACGUUCAAGGGAUCAUUGACCAGUUGUCGGGAAUGAACUUAAAGCUGGAAGAUGAGGUGACGGCUCUUUUGGUUAUGGCAUCCCUACCAGAAUCAAGGGAAACCUUGAAAAUUGCAAUCACGAGCUCUGUCGUAGAUGGUGUUGUCACCAUGGAGGAUGUCAAGAGCGGAAUUCUCAACGAGGAGAUGAGAAGAAGAUCUCAAGGUGUCUCUUCCUCAUCAUCACAGUCAGAUGUUCUAGCUGUAGAUGGGAGAGGAAGGAGUGAGUCGAGAGGCUCAAAGAAGCGAGGGAAGAGCCGAGGGAAGUCCAACAAGCUUGCAAACAUCACUUGUCACAACUGCAAACAGAUGGGACACAUCCGGAGGUUUUGCCCAGAACUUAGGCAAAACAGAGGUGAUGGUAGUGACCGCGCAAACGUUGUUGAGGAGCUCAUGCUUGUCUACAACAAAGAUUUUGUCAACCUGACAACCCAGGAGACCACUUGAGUGGUUGACAGCGGCGCCAUCAUCCAUGUAACAUCCAGACGUGAAUUUUUCACAUCUUACUCACCGGGCAACUACAGUGUGAUAAGUAUGGGAAAUGGAAAUGUCUCUAAGGUCGUCGGCAAAUGAGAUUUCUGUCUGGAGACAAUGAAAGGUGUGAAGUUGGUAUUGUGAGAUGUUAGACAUGUCCCAGACAUGCGUCUGAAUCUGAUUUUUGUGGACAAGCCGGACGGGGAAGGUUAUUGCCAUACCUUGAACAAAAGUCAAUGGAAACUCACCAAAGGCGUAGUGGUGGUGGCGAGAGGCAAGAAGCAGUCUAAACUGUACAUGACGGAAGGCAAGAUCACCCCAGAAGCUGCAAACUCAACAGAGACUGUUGACACUGUCGCGUUAUGACACAAACGCCUCGCCCACAUGAGCGAGAAGUCCAUGGUAAAGCUAGCAAGGAAGAAAGUUAUACCUGGGUGGAUCAUGUCCACCUGGAGAGAUGCAUCCACUGUCUGGUUGACGCUAGAAAGAAAAAUCGAGUUGCUUUCAGAAGUUCUCCUCCUUCUAGAGCGAAAAACGUGCUAGAUUUGGUUCACUCAGAUAUUUGUGAAGCGGAUUCCAAAUCCCUUGGUGGGGCACGUUACUUUGCAACGUUCAUUGGAUUGGUGGAGAGGGAGACUGGCCAGAAGCUGAAGUGUCUAUGUAAAGACAAUGGUGGAGAGUACAUUGGGCCAUUCGAUGCCUACUGUAAAGAGAAGGGAAUCCGACAUCAGUUUACACCUCCUAAGACUCCGCAACUGAAUGGCGUGGCGGAGCGGAUGAACAAAACCUUGAUGGAGAGAGUUAGAUGCUUACUCUCGCACUCGAAGUUGCCGCACUCAUAACAGAUUCUUUGACCCUAUCCAAAAGAAGCUCAUCUGGAGUCAUGAUGCUGUGUUCAUGGAGAAUGAGACCAUUGAAGAUAUUCAGAAGGCUGGGAGAGAUACUCCUAGCACUGAUGCUAGCUUAACACCCGAGGAGCUAGAGCCUCCGAUGCCUGCAGUUGGAGAAAUUCAUCUAGAGGUACCUGAACCAGAGGUUCCCCUUGACGUUCAGCCUGAUGGUCCUAAUGAUGAUGAUGAUGGUUCUCAUGAUCAACUGCCAGCCGUCGAAGGUUCUCUGCCCCGAACGAGAUCUGGCAAAGUCGUGCAACCCUCUACCAGAUAUUCUUCAAAUGAAUAUGUCUUAUUCAUUGUUAGGGAGAACCAGAUAGCUUCAAGGAAGCUAUGAAGGAUGAACGCAAGCAGAAAUGGAUGGAGGUAAUGUAGGACGAGAUGAAGUCCCUACACGACAUUAACACAUUUGAGCUGGUGAAGUUACCAAAGGGGAAGAGAGUUUUGAAGAACAAGUGGGUGUUCAAAAUCAAGUAUGAAGAACAUAAUACAUCCAUUCGUACAGUGUUGGGGCUAGCGUCAAGUUUCAACCUGGAGGUUGAGCAGAUGGACGUGAAGACUGCCUUCCUCUAUGGCGAUUUGGAAGAAGAGAUCUAUAUGGAGCAACCGGAAGGCUUCAAGAAGAAGGGGAAAAAGGAUUUUGUGUGCAAACGUACCAAACAUUUAUACGGCUUGAAGCAGGCACCACGACUAUGGUACAUGAAGUUCCAGUAUGUUAUUGGGGUGCAAGGGUACAAGAAGACCACUUCAGACCAUUGUGUGUUCGUGAAGAAGUUCGGAGAUGAUGAUUUCAUCAUCUUGUUGCUUUAUGUGACAACAUGCUGAUUGUUGUCCGGAAUGUUUCCAGAAUCAACAACUUGAAGAAGGAGUUGAGCAAGUCUUUUGCUAUGAAAGACUUGGGGUCCGCGAAGCAGAUUCUUGGCUUGAAGAUUGCACGAGAUAGAGUUGCCAAGAAGAUCUGGUUGUCGCAGGAGAAGUACAUUGAGAAAGUACUCCAACGAUUCAGCAUGAACGGUGUAAAAGUGGUUGCUUGUCCUCUUGCUAAUCACUUUCAACUUAGCACCAAACAGUGCCCGUCUACUGAUAUAGAGAAGACAGAGAUGAAAAGUAUUUCAUAUGCUUCAACGGUGGGAAGUCUGAUGUACACUAUGGUGUGCACACGACCAGAUAUUGCUCACGCGGUCGGAGUUGUCAGCAGGUUUCUUUCAAAUCCUAGAAAGGAACAUUGGGCAGCUGUGAACUGAAUUAUGAGAUACCUUCGAGAUACCUCAAAAUUUUGCCUUUGUUAUAGAGAUUCUAAUCCUGUACUUGUCAGCUACACAGAUGCGGACAUGGCAGGUGACGUUGAUACACGGAGGUCCACUUCUGGAUACCUGAUUACAUUUUCAGGGGGAGCUGUUUCUUGGCAGUCAAGGCUACAAAAGUGUGUAGCUCUUUCCACUAUAGAAGCUGAGUUGAUUGCCGCAACGGAAGCUAGCAAGGAGCUGUUGUGAAUGAAGAAGUUCGUGAGUGAACUUGGGUUCCAAGAGGAAUGACCGCAGUUGUUCUGUGAUAGUCAGAGCGUCAUACACCUUGUGAAGAAUUCGACGUUUCAUUAUUGGUCCAAACAUAUCAAUGUUUGCUAUCACUGGAUUCGGGAUGUGGUGGAGUCGAAGCAACUACAACUCGAGAAGAUCCAUAUUGAUGAGAAUGGAUCUAACAUGUGCACGAAGAGUCUUCCAAGAGAGAAGUUUGAGUAUUAUCGAUCAGCGGCAGGGAUGACCGAGAUUCUUAAUUAGCCGGGAGGGAGAGAAUUGUUGGUCCCGGGAAAAUUAAUAAUAUAAAAUAAUAAUAAAAAAAUACCACCUCCAAUUUAGUGCAUAUGGAAAUUAGUUGGGGAUUCAACUAAUUGGAUGCCACAACCAAUUGCUUUCAAUUGGUCUCCCCACAUUUCUAGUAUAAAAGGGAAGCUAGUGCAUCCCAUUUUAAUCAUCCCUCUCUUCUUCCUUUCUCACUUCUCUGUACUUGUUUCUUUUAGUAGUGUUGUAGUGUAGUACUUUUCACUUGUUUAAUAAUUGAGAUAACUUAUCUCAAUUGGGUAGAUAGGUGAGUGGUAGAAAGUCUCAGUAAAUGUUUUACCGUGGAAGGAAUACUUUCUUGUGAUCGAUAAAAUAGCGAGUAGUUUUUUCGGGGUUGGGAAACACUUGAGAGACACUAUUUUUGGAUCGACUCGGGUCACCUUGUAGCUACCUUGUUAUAGUGAAGAAGUACUCAUAGCUGUCGCUGCUGCUGUAGAUGUACUCUCCGCAUUGGAGAGGAACUACGUAAAUCCCGGUAUUAUUUACUUAUGAUUUUGUGCUUGGAAAUUUUGAGAAUAUUUUCGAGAAUAUUCGUUGUAUAUUUUAUUAUUAAUAUUACCACAAUAAAUUGGUCUAAGGAGGUUGGCUUGAUUAUCGUUAUUAUGGUAUUGCGGUGGUAAUCACCCAUCCAUAGUGAUUUUAAUUGUGGCGGACUACCGCCAGUUCCAACCUGCUUGGGAAAUAUUUACGGUGUAUGGUUUAUUAGUACAAUAUGUUUACUCUAUUCUCGUAUGCUACGCCUCAACAGUUCCUUCCCUUACCUCAAUUCCUCCUCAGCCUUUUCUUUCUUUUCUUUUCCUCCUUCCCCGUAAUUCAAUCUCAGCUACCGUGCACAUGGGACUUACUCGUCGCCAAUGUCGACGUCGCCUCAAUGCACACGACCGUCACACGAUUCAACACCGUCGUCCUCCUUGACCGCACCAACAUCGGCCCUUAUCACAAGCUCCUUCCCAAACCCUGCUGCCGAAUUAACACGCACGAGGCCGUUCUCAAGCACGACUGCUACGCCCACUCCCUCGUCUUCCACCCCGACACCAGCCACAUCUACCCCCUCAUGAUCCUCACCGACACGUGGUGCUCCUCCAGCCAAUUCCUUCCCAAUGGUACCCUCCCUCACAUUGGCGGCGACCUCAACAGCUUUAGAAAGAUCCGCAAGUUCCAGCCUUGUGAUUGGGAAGGCCUCUGGGUCUGGGUCGAGCUUGACGACGUCCAAUUGGCUCAGGGAAGGUGGUACGCCACUAAUCAAAUUCUCCCUGAUGGAUCGAUCAUCAUCGCCAGCGGCAGAGGCGCUAACACAGCCGAGUUUUAUCCGUCGAGGUUAAACAGUACCGUGUUGUUCCCUUCUUAGUCGAAACCAAGGACAACCAGAUGGACAAUUUGUACCCUUACGUCCACCUGCUCCCUAACGGCCUUCUAUUCAACUUCGCCAACAACAGAUCCAUUUUAUACGACCAUGAUUGGGAAGGCCUCAGAUGGGGUCUCUUGGAAUUACCCUUCGGCGGGAUCUUCGGCCAUGCUCGCACUUGAAGGUGAUUACUCAACCGUUGUGAUCAUCGGUUGUGGUAGGGCCUAGUACGGCACUUUCACCCAGAAGAGUAUCGACACUCCGACGCAUGGAAGCUGUGGGAGGAUCGUUGCCACGUCAGAGGAGCCAUCUUGGAAGAUGGAGGACAUACCGUUUGGGAGGAUCAUGGGGGAUAUGGUUAUGCUCCCAAACGGCGAGGUUUUGAUCAUCAAUGGAGCUUAGGAAUGCACCCAGGGAUUUGAAUUGGCUUCCAACCCGUGUCUGUACCCAGUUCUUUAUAGACCGGAUUAGCCAGUCGGGUUACGGUUCAUGACUCUGACUCCGGGAACCGUCCCCAAAUUGUACCACUCCAUGGAAAAUCUCUUGCCGGAUGGGAGGAUUCUACUCGCAUGAAGCAACCCACACUAUUUCUACAAAUUCGAGGUGGAAUUUAUUGAAUUAAGUGAAGAACUAACGGAGUUACCGGGAGACCGUUAGCCAACAUCAAUGGAAAAAGGAAUCGCGAAGACUGAAACGAAGCGUUUUGAUUUUCCGUUUCUUUCAUUGAGUUGGUGUAUGAACUAAUGACACGUGUUUUACCCACUUUGUAAUUCUAUUUUUACUGUUCUUGUUACCAUUGGGGUUAGUAUAAAAACCCAACCAGCUGAAUAACCAAGAUAGCUUUUCAGAGCUUGAAAUCAAUUUCCUCUUCCUCUUCUUUUUUUCUAGAAUUCGAUCGAUCUCCGAUAAAUUUGUUAUGGUAUCAGAGCCUAUUCUGUCGACCUGAAACUCGGCGAUGACACUAAGUCAUGAAGAUGACAAUAAUGAUGAUGAACAGCCACAUCAUCAGCAAACUCCAGGUUUCAUUUUCGGAUCCAUCGGGAACAAUCAUCGCAACAAUGAAUCGUCGCCAACAAGUUCUAUCAGUCUAACUUUUGGUAAUCCCUACUAUUUGAAUCCUAAUGAGAAUCUGUCCUAGUCAAUUGUUAGCACAGUCUUGGAUGGAUCAAACUAUCAAAUGUGGAGUAGAUCUGCGAGAUUCGAAUUGAAAAUGAAGCAUAAGGUUGGAUUCAUUGAUGGAUCUAUAGUUCCACCAGCUAUGUCUAGUGAUACAUAUUCUCUUUGGGAUGGUUGUAAUACUAUGGUACUUUGUUGGAUUGACUCGUUGCAUCCAAAAAUUCAUCGUAGUGUUUUGAGUGAUGAAAAUGCUCAAAUGCUAUGGCAAGAACUUAAACGUCGGUUUGGGAAAGCAAAUGCUUUAAAAAUGGCUAAUCUACAAGAUGAAAUACAUGGAUGUAAGUAGGGUCAGAUGUCAGUCACACAUUACUAUACAGUAAUCAAAGGUCUUUGGGAGGAAUAUAGUCAAUUUUCUCAUAUUGUUCCAUAUAUAUAUGCACCAGCCAGUGCAAUUCCUUGUGUUGCGGUGGUUGCCUUUCAGGAGAAGCAAGACACUGAUUAUCUAAUCCAUUUUCUCAGAGGACGGGAUGAAGAUUUUGAUGUUGUUAGAACUCUGCUACUGAUGAUGACUCCUCUACCAUCAGCUAGUUCUGCAUAUGAUCAUGCUCUCUAGUAUGAAGAGAAACUCAAAGGUGGAUUGGUAAUUGGAAAGGAAAAUGCUACACAUGCUGUAACAUUUGAUGUGCCAUCUAAUCAUGAUACAAGACUUGUUAUGGGAGCGACCACUGGAAACUCUAGAGACUAUACUCAGGUAGGAAAGAAGUUCUGUAGAUAUUGCAAAAAGGAGGGCAUAUACUGGAUGAAUGUAGAAAGUUAAAGUUGAAGAAGUAGCCGGAACAAAAUGCUCAAAAUGCUGGGAACAUAGCACCUCCAGCUCGAUUUGCAGGAGCAGUUGAUCAGCAUAUAACGCCUAUAGUUGCAGCUGCUCUCUCUUUAACAAAUGUUGAAUUAGCUCAACUUAAGUAACUGCUGCAAUCUGUUUAGCAGUCCAAAGCCACCAUAUCAGGAUAAGGGAUUCCAACUAUUCCUAAUGACUUAGGUAAGUUCACUAUGUCUGCUAUUUCUUGUCUUGAUUUAGCUGACUUGUGGAUUUUGGAUACUGGAGCUUCUGACCAUAUAACAUGUUCCCUAAAGCACUUCAUACUUAAAAACUUGUUGUAGGAGUCAACGUCUACCUUCUUGAUUCCUCUCCCAUGUCAGUCAGUCAUAUAGGCAGUGUCAGACUCGCCCAUGGUCAAAUAAUUUAUAAUGUUCUGUGUGUGCCAACCUUUCAAUUCAAUCUAGUUUAUGUUAGUAAAUUGACUUCUCGUCUACCUGUUUGCCUGAUUUUUCACUCAAACAAAUGUCAUCUUCAGGAUCUUACAAACGGCAAGACGAUUGGUUUAGCCACUCAGACUAUAGGAUUAUAUAACAUUCAACCUAUCGAUAAACACAUCCCAUCUUCACAAUCCUUUCAGCCUUCUCAAUACAGACCUCAAGUAGCUGUUAGUCACAAUUUCCAUCUAGAAGAGAUCAGUCUCUGGCAUUGGCAGAUGGGACACCCUAGUGCUGAGAAACAAACAUUUAAGUAGUCAUGGUAAUGACAUUGUUCUUGAAACUCUCAGUCAUUGUUCUAUUUGUCAUUGCUCAAAACACAGACGUCUUCCGUUUCAUAGCAGUCAAACUAAUGUUCUUUCUGUCUUUGAUCUCAUUCAUGUUGAUAUUUGGAAUCCCUUAUCCACUGAAUCACACAAUGGAUACCUAUAUUUUCUCACAAUUGUUGAUGAUUAUUCUCGUGGAGUCUGGAUUUAUUUGAUGAAAUAAAAAUCUGAAACGAGAGUCUUGUUGCAAUCUUUUUGUAACAUGAUACAUACUCAAUUCAAGACUAAAGUUAAAAUGGUAAGGAGGGAUCAAGGGAAAGAGUUCCAUAUGUCUGAAUUUUAUUCUCCGCAUGGAAUAAUCAACCAAAUGUCUUGUUUUCAAACACCCCGGCAAAAUACCAAAAUUGAGAGAAAACACCAACACAUUUUGAAUGUUGCCAGAGCAUUACAAUUUCAGUAUGGUCUUCCCCUAACAUACUAGAGUGAUUUUGUACUAUAUUUAGUGUACCUGAUAAAUAAAACCCCUUUUACUGUCACAAAGAACAAAAUGACUUAUGAAAUGCUCUAUAAUCACCCUCCUAAUCUUAGUUCAGUUAGAGUGUUUGGUUGUCUGGUUUAUGCUGCUACCCUUGCUCAUAAUCGUACUAAAUUCCAGCUCCGUGCUAGGCAAAGUGUGCUUCUAGGUAUUCCUCCUCAUAUCAAGGGGUACAAACUUCUUGACAUCAAUACGUCACAAAUUUAAAUAUCUAGAGACGUCAUUUUCUAUGAAAAUAUAUUUCCUUUUAAAUAUGCAAAUUUAUCUAUUGAUCUAGCUAUUGAGUAAGAAAUUUUACUUUCUCCAAAUCAUGUUAAUGUUUUGGUUCCGACCCUCCUUGGCAUGAAUUAUCCUCUCUUAUUCCCACCACUGCCUCUAGUUCUACCAGCCCUUCAAUGUUAAUAGCUCCAGAAACAAUUUCAUAUGUCACUAAUCAUUCAUCCCAGCUGCAGGGUUUGCUUUCUGAUAGUAAGGAUGAGAUGGAAUCUAAAGAUUCUUAAAUUCAUACAGCAGGGGAGGGAAUGAAGUCCGUUCUGCUGGAUGUCAGGCAUUCCACUAGGACAAGACAUCCACCUAUACAUCUACAGGACUAUCAUUUGAAUGCCAGUGUUACUAAACACUUUCUUGCAUAAUUGCUCUCAUAUAAUAAUCUUUCUAACAGUUUUAAAAGCUUUGCCUUGAAUGUUAUGGUCCAACAGGAAUCACGAAACUUUAAAGAAGCUAUGCUUGAUCCAUAAUGGAAUUUUGCUGUACAGAAUGAACUUGGUGCUCUUAAUGAAAAUCAUACUUAGGAUAUAGUCUCGAAUUCAAAAGCUUUCCAUAAACUUGGAACGAAAUGGGUCUUCAAAUUGAAGUUAAAGUCAGAUGGAAGUGUAGAACGGCGCAAGGCAAGAUUGGUUGCACAGGGUUUUGAUCAAAUUCAUGGGGUCGAUUUUGUAGACACGUUUUCACCAGUGGCUAAGAUCAUUACAGUGAAGUCUCGACUUGCUAUUGCAGCAGUUGAAAAUCUUCACUUGGAGCAGAUGGAUGGGUUUAAUGCAUUCUUACAUGGAGACCUUAUUGAGGAAGUUUACUUAAAGAUACUAGCAGGAUUGGAAGCUCCAUCAGGUACUUGUCUGAAACAUAGAAAGUCCCUAUAUGGAUUAAAACUUUUGCAGUUCAACAACUUAACCAAUUUUAGAAUGAUCCUCACAACACACAUCUGGAAGCUGCUCAUCGUGUGCUGAGGUAUUUAAAAUCAUCUCCAGCAUAGGGAUUGAUAUAUAAAUCAGAGAAUGAACUGAGUCUGACUGGUUAUUGUGAUUCUAACUAGGCUGCUUGUCCAGAUACCUGGAAGUCAAUAUCUAGUUAUUGCACUUAUCUUGGACUUCAUUGAUAACUUGGAGUUCUAAGAAAUAGGGGACCAUUUCUAGAUCAUCAUCUGAAGCUGAGUAUAGAUCCUUGGCACAUUUGGUGUGUGAACUACAAUGGAUAACAGAGUUAAUGAAGGAACUGGCAUUCAAGUCCCUAUGCCCAUACAGGUACAUUGUGACAAUAAGUCUGCUAUGUACAUAGCAGAGAAUUCGGUUUUUCAUGAGAGAACUAAACAUAUUGAGAUUGACUGUCAUGUAAUGAGGGAAAGGAUCAAAUCAGAGAUGAUCAUCUUGAAGCAUAUUGGAACCGAGAUUCAGCUUGCAAAUGUCUUUACCAAAGUCCUCCAUCGUACUCAUCUGAAAAUGCUUCUAGGCAAGUUGGGAGCUUACGAUGUAUACUCUCCAACUUGUGGGAGGGUAUUGAAUGAAGUGAAGAACUAACAGAGUUACCGGGAGACCGUUAGCCAACAGCAACAGAAGAAGGAAUCGCGAAGACUGAAACGGGGCGUUUUUAUUUUCCGUCUGUUUCAUAGAGUUGGUGUAUGAACUAAUGACACGUGUUUUACCCGCUAUGUAAUUCUAUUUUUACUGUUCUUGUUACCGUUGGGGCUAGUAUAAAAACCCAACCAGCUGAAUAAACCAAGAUAGCUUUUUAGAGCUUGAAAUCAAUUUCCUCUUCAUUUUUUCUAGAAUUCGAUCGAUCUCUGAUCAAUUUGUUAGAAUUCCCGAUGGAGAUGCGAAUCGAAGCCUUUUCCCCGAAGUAUUUGGCACCGGAGAGGGUAAAUUUGAAGCCGGUGAUCGAGGAAAUCCCUGAGACGAUUCGUUACGAAGAGGCUUUCAUAGUUUCGGUGUCGCUCGAAUUGCCGAUGGUGGGAAUUUUAGAGGUGAACAUGGCGAGUGUUCCGUUUGCGACUCACUCGUUGUCGCAGGGGAAGAGAUUGGUGAAGUUGACGGUGACGCCUAGCAUCCCUGACAAGGGUGGGGGGGUAUAAGAUCAGUUGUACGGUGCCACCAAGUGGCGCGGUGGCUCCGCCUGGAUACUAUAUGGUCUUUGCAGAUAACUAGGGUGUGCCGAGUAUAGCCCGUUAGGUGCGAAUGAUUUCUUCUUAGCACUCUUAUUAAUUUUAGUUGGUGCGUUGUUUGUAAGUUUAGCAAACAUACCAUAUAUGGAAAUUAUAUAUAGCGAUAUUCUACCCAAUAUUGAUCGGUAAUGACAUUAAAGUUCAAAUGCAAGUGAACCAACACAACAUAAUGAUGUGAAGGAAUAACUUCACAAACAUCAAAAUAAUCGAUGCAACAAAGGACUCAUAAUCUUCGACUACUCCGGCUUUUACUUAACAACAAAUCAUUUAUUACUGCAAUCAAUUACUAACAAAACAUGUAGUGAUGCUACUAAUUACACAUAUAUAUAUAUAUAAAACUAAUAAACAUUUGAGAUUUUUUCUCCUAUUUUUGCAAUGACAACCGAAAUAAAUUAACUGAUAGAUUUUGACCCGUUGAAAAAUUCAAAUGUUUUUCUUAUUUUAUUACUAAUAACCUAAAUAAAUCAACUAAAGUGUAAAUAAUUAUAAAAAAAAUACUAGAGUUAUGCAAAGCUAAGAACAAUAGUGAAGUUAUGUACCUUAUAUAACAUCAUCUUUUUUAUGGCAACAAAAGAAACAAGACAAUUACUCCUUAACAAUGGACCUAACAACAUAUGUGUCUCCAAAAUCAAGAGCUUCCCCGAAAGCAAACUCGUCAUCUCCAACAGUCUUCAUCAUCAAACCAAGCUGGAGGUGAUGUCCCCUGUUCGCCAAGUGAUCAACAAAGCGAUUUGCUUCACGGUAAAUGUGAAUGAUACGAACGUUCCAGUCUCUCGCCCGAAGUCUUUGGAACUUAGCCAACAAGCUAGCGUAUUGAUUGUGGUGAAUAUUCUCAUUCAUGAGCAUACCAACCAUGCAGCUCGAAUAAACUUGAAUCUCCAGACGGCGAGCCCCCUGAUCCCAAGCCAACUCCAUGCCAUGAAUAACUCCCCGAAGCUCGAAAGGGGUUAUAGUACAGAUUCCCAAAUUAACAGAGUAGGCCAAAAGUGCCUUACCGUCCGAAUUGUGCAAAACUCCCCCGGCUGCAGCUUCUCCAAAUUGGUACAAAUGGAGCCAUCAGAGUUAAGGGUCAUCCACUCAUAGCAUGGUCUUUCUUUUGAUCACAACAUUCCUGCGAGUUGGGACCGGAAUCAAAGCUCGGGCACUAUACUUGCUACUCUUAAUAACAGCACACCAGUAAUUGAUCUUUGUUCAGACAACACCCACAUAAGGGACAUUAUUGGUGAAAAUGGCCUCAUUACGAAAGGUCCAGGGACACCAACACACUAUACCCAACAUUGGCUGACGAGAGUUAUCAAUCACUACUUCCUUCCACCAAUCAGUCCAACUAAGAGCCAAAACCUGAGAUAAUUCAGUGGGCGAUAGCAAACUCAACCCAAUAGUGACAACAAAAGGAAACCUGUGCAGGACAUGCUCGAUGUCUCCUUUCGUCCCCGCACAACAAGAGCAGCUAUCAGAAGCAGCAAGAUGGCAACGAACUCUCUCCCCGUUUGUAAACAAUCUCUGUUGACCAACAAGCCAUAAGAAAUGGAAAAUCUUAUUUUGGUCCUUCCCACUUCCACAAUUUCUUCAACCAAUCAUUAUCAUCCACCUCGCGGAACUCCUUAAUCAGAUUGCUGGCCGAGUUAAUAGAAAAUUCACAGUUAGAUUUGAGUACCCAAACUGGAUUAUCCUCGCCCAGGCCAUCCAUUGGUUGAUCUAUCCAUUGGUUGGAGAAACCCAAUCAGCCACCACACUCGACAUGUCAAUGGAAGCUAACACAACUUCAGCCAGGAUCACCCCAGAGUCCAACCACCGGUCAACCUAACAUUUAGUGCUCUUGCCAUCCUGAAUGCUUCACUGCAAGCCUUUCUAAUUAAUCGACCAAGCAUCCCUAAUACCUCUCCAUAGGUUCGAAAACCUUUUAGUGCCGCGAACAACCAUUGCUCCUCCAACAUAACGCAUAUACUUAGUGAGAAAAACUUGAGCCCAGAGUUCCUUAGGCUGACUAAAAAGACCCCACACUAGUUUCAUAAUUCCCUAGCACUUCGGAUGCCAAGCCCUCCUAUAUCCUAGGGUUGGCAGACCGUACCUUAGUUAACGAGAUGAAUUUUCUUCAACCCUUGACUGGAUCCCCAAAUAAAGCUCCGGAUCCUUCUAACGAUAUCCUAACAAACAGUAGCGGGGAGAACAACCGUUUGCAUAGCAUAAGUAGGGACCGCGUUAAGGACGGAUGUGGCAAGGGACACACACCCGACAAGAGACAGGGAAGGCGCUCGCCAACCCGAAAAUUUGCUGUCCAUCUUUGCAAGUAUAUGCUUGAAGUGAUGAGGAGAAGUACGACCAUGAACAAUUUCGACACCCAAGUACUUCACCAAACUGAAAGAUGUAUGAAUACCCAUAACAAUGGUGAUGGCUCCAUGGAGAGAACCUGAAACAUUCUUAGAGAAGAAGAGACAAGAUUUCCCCUUCCUAACUAUUUGUCCCGAGGCCUCACUGAAAGCAUCCAAGCAAUUUAAAAUAAGGUCACUGUGUCUAGUGCAUGCUUACCCAAAUAUAACCAGAUCAUCUGCAAAGAAGAUGUGUGUGAGAGGAGUACUUUCCUUAGCAAGCAUCAUCGACCUCCAAUCCCCUCCUCCAACGCCGUUGGUGAUGAUGUGACUUAACCUUUCCACACAAAGAGAAAAUAUAUGGAGACAGUGGGCAACCUUGUCUCAGUCCCCAUUCCGAGACAAAGGAAUCAAACACUCCAUCAUUCCGGGAGAUCCUAAAUGUUGAAGUACUAAGGCACUCCAUCAGCAAGGAUAUAAAAACCGGAGAAAACCCCGCAUUCUCCAACGUGUCACGAAAUCACAUUGUAUUUUUUCAUAUGGCCUAGCAAGAUCAAUUUUAAUGAGCAUGUGACUAUUCUUUCAUCUCCUACCGUGCAUAGAGAGGAUAUUCCCCUAAAAAAUAAUGAUGUUAUCAGUGAUGUGGCGCUCCGGAACAAAACUAGUUUGUGACUGGUGAACAAGCUUCGACAUGAUUGCUUUGAGUCGGUUUGCCAGACAUUUAGUCACUUUUUUAAGGGCGACAUUACACAUGCUCAAUGGCCGAAACUGACCGAGGUUCUCCGGAUUAGAGACUUUCGGAAUAAGCACAAGAAGGGUCUCAUUGACCUCCUUAAUUCGAUGAGCAUUUCAGAAGAUAUCCUUGACAAACUGCAAAAACUCGGUGAUGACACUCGAUUUUUUGUGUUCAUUGCCGUUGUUUAAGCGACAUUUCAUGCAUAUUCGUAUAUUUUUGUGUAGAAGUUUAGGAUGUUCCGCGCAUUUCUAGCAUCUAUCUCAAUUUUGUGUCUCGGACCCGUUCGGGGUCCAUUUGAUGUUGUUUUGUAGUGUUUUAGUCGAUUUCAGGAACACGGCAACAUCGGGGCAUCAUUCCGAACUGUAUGAAGUACAAGGAAGGGCUGGAUGCAUCGACGAAUGGACAAAAUCACAAAAUCGACGUUAAAGACCAAAAAUGCGCCUAACAUGUACUAAAAGUGUGCAACACACUUUUGGUCGUUAGGGCGCACUUUUGGUCCAAAUCGGAUGUCAAGUCUGUGAGAUUUAUACAAAAAAUGCGCCUUAUAUACACCAAAAGUGUGCAGCGCACUUUUGGUCUAUAUUGGGCGCACUUUUGUUAUACGUCAGGCUCAAGGAAUCCUUCUCUAUAAAAGCCCAGUUCUCCCUCAUAAUUCAUAGACUUUUUGAACGAAAUUUAGAGAGAAAUUGAGAGAUUCGAGAGCAACAGGAAGGCGACUUCAAGGAGCUCGGGAUCGCCAAAAUAAUCAAGACGACGAAUCAAGUUCUCAAGUAGGUUGGAGAAACUAGGUUUUUCAUAAUUCUUUGUGUAAACCUAGAAUCAAUGUCUUCCUCUUCUGAUUUUGAUUUGUCUUUCGAGAUUUUGAGCAGUUAACUUCUUUUGCUUAGAUUAGAUUAACCGUAGGUUAAUUCCUAUGAACGAAUGAUUUGAGAAGUUUGACAAUUUAUGCGAGUUGGAUGGAUUUCAUUGCAUAUUUGAUAUCGUUUUCGAUUUGUUCUUGGUUGAUCAACUUGAAUGAAUCUCCGUUAGAUUUUUCUUAGACUCGAAAGAGCUUGCAUAUCUAGGGUGCGGAAAUAACUAGGUUAUAUCGUGCAGUCUUGCAACCCGUUAACUUUAAAGCAAUUUUCAUCUUUCAUUUUGACUGUUUGCUUGAUCCUCGUGGCACUUAAACCACACUACUCAUUACUUUGAUUCAUACUAAUUUCAACUUUGAGUAAGAUACUAAAAGAGACCCUACGGAGAUUUGACUCGGUUAAUUCAUUAGCCGGAUUAUUUUGAUAACGCAUAAAAAAUGAUUAUCAAAUUGGUGCUAUUGCGUGGGACUUCUUUCUAGUAUCUAAAACUAGUUAGAUCAGUAUUAGUCAUUCAUUUGCGAUUUAAUUUUUUGCUUUCACGGAUACUUUUCACAGGUGUUAUUAUUUUUCUUCAUAUAGGAGAGAAUUCAAUGUAUAUCACCAGUAGUGACACGAUCCAAAUCAAGCCAAAGUUCUCACCAAGACUUGCGCUCAUCAAUGGAAGAAGGUGAGAUUUCUGACUCUCUCCAGCGUUUUUCAGAACUGACAACGAAUCUAGACUUGAAGACUCUUCAAACUCAGAUUAUUCAAACACUCCAACCGACCACAACUACACGUCCAAACUUACUGAACCAAUGGCGGCAACAACAUCUCUUGUCGAUUACACUAAGCCUAGUGUUGCGUACUCCGCAUCUAGUGUGAUUCAUCUUGUGCAUGAUGAUGCAAAUUAUGCAAACCCCCAUGCUGCAUCUAUCUACACUUGUCCAUGGUGUGGUAGUUGUGAUAGUCAGGGGGAAUGUGAAAACUUCUACAACAAACCAAUGACCGUGGAAGAAGUAUAUUUUGUUAGAGGAGGUUAUCCUUUUAGUCAGCAGGGGUAUCAAGACUUCAGAGCAAAGCAUGCCAAAGGCAGAAAUUUCUAGAAUACUUAUCCCCACACAGAUUUUUACAAGCCUAGAGUGGAGGACUACAACACCACUCCACAAGGGAAUUCGAGAAACCAAGGACUGCAAGGAUUUCCAGAUAAGCCACCAUCACAACAGAAUUCAGCCACUACUGGGGUCCACUGAUGAUCUUAUCCGAAUGAUGCAGAGAAUGGAGGCGCAGUUGGCAAGUCAAGGCAAUAUUUUGCAAGGUCAACAAGCAAUGAUUCAAAGGAUGGAGGCAGAUUACAAUUCUUUGGUGCAAAGGGUAGAUUAGAGACCUCUUGGACAGCUGUCGGGGAAUACUGAGCAAAACCCCAACAAUACUCAACACCUAGGAAUGGAGCACAUGGAUGCUAAAUCGAUUUCAUUGAGGAGUGGAAAGACAAUUAAGGGUAAUCCCAAAUCUAUUGAAGAACCAGAGAUGGUGUCAGAUGAUAUUGCUAUUGAUAUUCCAGAGGAUGAAGAAGAAACACCAGUGGCGCCUACAACCCCUGCUCCAAAAGUUUGAAGGCCAGCAAACACAAAUUUCGUGCUCACUCCUGAAGAAAUUAAGAAGCAUGCUAGGAUUCCAUAUCCAAUGCCAGUCAAGAGGUUACACUAACCUUCCUAGAGGCUUUCAUGAAGAUUCCAGCAUAUGCCAAGUUCUUGAAAGAUGUGCUAAACAAGAAGAUCAAUCUUAGCGAUCCAACAGAGGUCUCCAUAUAUGAAGAGGGCGCAACUAUUCAAGUCGGAAUGACAAAGCAAAAAGACAGAGGGAGCUUUACUCUACCUUGCACUAUUAAUAAUGUUAAAGUUGGUAGGAGUCUUGCUGAUCUAGGUGCUAGUAUAAAUGUGAUGCCACAUAGUUUGUUUGAGAAAGUAGACAUAGGUGAACUUAGACCGAUUAAGAUGAUUCUUCAACUUGCUAAUAGAUUUAUGGUGAAACCUAGGGGAGUGAUAGAGGAUGUGCCUAUUCGUGUAGGACCUUUUGAAUUUUCUGCCGAUUUUGUAGUGUUAGAUACCCAUGAAGGUGAUUGUAAUAUUUUGUUAAGACGUCCUCUCUUAGCUACUGCUGAAGCUAUGAUUGAAGUUUGCAAAGGGUGUUUAACAUUGAAGGUAGGAUAGGAUGAAGUUACAUUUCGUUUGAAAGAAGGCAUGAAAUAUUCUAAGGCUCAAGAUGAUGAUGAUAUUUCUCACAACUAUCAAGAUGCCUUUGAAAUGUUUGAAUUGUCUCAUAUGCUUGUUGGAGAUGUCUUUAUUGUUACAGGUGUUUAUGGAGACUGGAUGAACGACAUGGAACAAAAGGCAUAAGCAAAAGCCCUUGAGCAACUCGAGACCUAUACUGGUGCCCCACCCAUGUUGGAACUUCCAACAAUUCCGAAGAUAACUACAUCAUAUGAAGAUCCAUCUAAGUUGGAACUGAAGCUACUACCAGAGCAUCUCAAGUAUGCAUUUCUCAGAGAGGCGGCAAAAUUUCUUGUCAUCAUCGGCUCGAAACUUGAACCCCAACAGAAGUAGCAGCUUCUAAAUAUAUUGAAGAAGCAUGAACAAGCCAUAGCAUGGAAGCUAGCUGACAGUAAGGGAAUCAGUCCCUCAUUCAGCACCCAUAAAAUCAAUUUGGAGGCAGAUGCAAAACCGGUAGCGCAAUAACAACACCGACUAAAUCCAGCUAUGAAGGAAAGUCUUGAAGAAGGAGUCACUCAAACUUCUAGAUGCAUGGAUUAUCUACCCAAUCUUUAACAGUAGAUGGGUCAGUCCUACACAGGUUAUACGGAAGAAGGGUGGAUUCAUUGUUGUGCCUAACAACAAGGGAGAGCUCAUCAUUACUUGGACAGUCAGCAGAUGGAGAGUGUGUAUUGAUUAUAGGCGCCUCAGCCAUGUUACUAGAUAGACCACUUUCCACCGUCGUUCAUUGAUCAGAUGUUGGAGCGUCUCACAAAUCCGGCAAAAAUCGUCCGAAGAAUUGUCCAAAGAAACACAAUCCGGCGAAAAUCGAAGUCGUGUGAAGAAACGGGUUGAAAACGCUCAAACGGGAUGAAAACUCAACGAAAUGGAAUGAGAUCGAAGGGGGAAUGGCACCGGCCGUGGGUUCCGGUGGCACAGCAGUGGCAGAUAGCGAAGAGUUCGGCCGUAGCGACGGUUUUGAAGUGAAAAAUUGAGAAGUUUUUAUAAAAAUCGACCUGCUGCUGCGGAUAAUCACGAUAUUAUACCAAAAGUGCGCAGAAGAUAUACCAAAAGUACGUUGCACACUUUUGGUAUAUUUAAGGCGCAUUUUUUGUAUACUUUCCGGGGUAGAAAUUUCAAAAAGCACCCAAAUAGCGCCCACACAAACCAAACGUGCGUUCCGCAUUCUUGGUAUAUUGAGGCGCAUUUUUGGUAUAAAUUGGUUAAAAUUUCUCAGCCUCUAAAUUUGAAAACCAGUAGCUUUCGAAACUAAACGUGACCCAACACACAUCGUUCUAGACUCGAUCUAACACCUAAACAUGAAACUUCCACCCCGUCGGUAGGCAUGGCGCUAAGAUAGCGCUUGAGAUGAUGACCGUUGACCUUGAAUGUUCCUUGAUCCGGAUGGGUGAUCUUUAUGGUCCUGUAGGAAAAAGAUUGCGUGACUUCAUACGGUCCCGACCAUAUUGAUUGCAAUAUUCCCGGAAACCGACUGAGGCGGGAGUUGUAAAGCAGCACUCUGUCUCCCUUUUCAAAUUCUUUGACACUUUGCAGCUUUGCAUCGUGAAUGCGUUUCAUCUUCUCUUUGUGCAACUAUGAGCUCUCAUAAGCGUGAAACGUGUACUCCUCUAGCUCAAGGAGCUGAUAUUUACUUUCGAAAGCUGCGAGACUGGAAUCCAUGUUCGGUAAAUUUAUGGCCUACCACGCCUUGUGCUCAAGCUCGACUAAUAAAUGACAAGCCUUGCUAUAAACUAGUCGUUACGGAAAAGUGCUGCUAUGAGUUUUGAAUGCGGUUUGAUAAGGUCAGAGAGCUUCGCCGGGCUGAAUCAAUCAGUCCUUUUUAGAGUGAUCGACCAUCCUAUCAAGAAUCUGCUUAAGCUCGCGAUUCGUCACUUCAGCUUGACCGCUUGCCUGCGAGUGGUAAGCGGUGGUCAAUCGAUGAGCUAUGAAUUUUCUUUGACAAACUCAAUCGAAUUGGCCCUGAGAAUGAGUACCCCUAUCGCUAAUGAUAGCGCGAGGGGUGUUGAAAUGCAUAUAAAGGCGGGUGAUAAACUUCCCCACUGUCCUAGCAUCAUUAGUAGGCAGUGCUUGUGCCUAAACCCACUUUGACACAUAAUCCACAAAAACAACUAUGUACUUAUUACCAUGGGACUACAGGAAAGGACCUGUAAAAUCAAUUCCCCACACAUCAAAUCUCAACAGGCAUAGAUAUUGUCAUUGGAAUUUCAUUCCUAUUUGAGAUGUUACCUGAAUGCUAGCAGGGAUCGCAGUUCUUCACGUAUUCUCCACACUCCUUCUAAAUCUUCCUCCAAUAGAAUCAUGCAUCCAAAAUCAUUUGACCUAUGUGGUUUCCGCUGUGAUGUCCUCCAGAGGGACUACGGUGACCGCAAAGCAUGAUCUUCAACGACUCAUGCAUACCAUGGGCAUUUGUUGGGGGAUCCCCUGAGCCUUCCUCUGCUUCUUCUAAGAGCAACAACUGUUCAACCGAGUAGAGCUCAUUGAUAUAUGCUUCAGCAAAUCGUCCCGGAGGACGGCCUUCAAGGUGCAAAAAAUGGUUUGUUGCAACGUUUUAUGUACCUGCCUUAUCCUUGAUAGAUAAAUCAAACUCUUAAAGGAGUAGGAACCAUCAAAUUAAUCUCAAUUUCACAUCUUGUUUAGCUAGAAGAUACUUAAGAGUAGAGUGGUCAGUGAAACCCGUAGUAUGAGACAGUACUAGAUAGGACCUGAACUUGUCGAAUGCGAAGACAAUCGCCAAGAGCUCCUUCUCCGUAGUUCUGUAGUUCUUCAGUGCACCAUUAAGGAUUUUUCUAGCAAAAUAGAUCGGAUGAAACCUCUUUUUCGCCUUUGUCCUAACACAGCUCCAACUGCAAAUCACUAGCAUCACACAUUAGUUCAAAAGGGGCUCCCAAUCCAGGGAGACCUGUAUCGACGCAGUCGUCAACUUCUUCUUGAGGGAUUCUAAUGCCUGCAGACAUUUAUCAUAAAAUAAAAAUGACACAUCUUUCUCUAACAACCUAGUCAUAGGUGAUGUAAUUUUAGAGAAAUCUUUGAUAAAACGAUGAUAGAAACCUGCAUGUCCUAAGAAGCUACACACAGUUUUAUCAUUCACUGGGGGGAAGCUGAGAGAUGGUUUCGAGCUUAGGUCGAUCCACAUCAAUACCUCGUUUGGAGACUCUAUGGCCUAGCACGAUCCUGUUCUCCACCAUGGAGCAACACUUCUCCCAACUUAGAGCUAAGUUGGUCUCUCACACCUCGCUAGCACAUUUUCCAAAUUCGUCAGUCAUCUUGAAAAUGAAUCUCCAUAAACAAAGAUGCCAUCCAUAAAGACCUCGACAACAUCUUCUAGUAAAUGCCCAAAAAUUACCGUCAUACACCUUUGAAACGUCUCAUGUGCAUUGCAAAGACCGAAAUGAUACGUUUGUAUGCAAAUGUGCCAAAAUGACAUAUGAAAGUCGUCUUCUCCUGAUCCUCUAGCUUGACUGGGAUCUAGAAGUAACCAGACAUCCAUCGAGGAAAUAGUAAAACUCAUGACCGGUGAGACGCUCCAACAUCUGAUCAAUGAAUGACGGUGGAAAGUGAUCUAUCUGGUAACAUCGUUGAGGCGCCUAUAAUCAAUAGAGUAAAUAUAUUGCACUAAUAAACCACACACCAUAAAUAUUUCCCUGGUAGGUUGGAAGCGGCGGUAGUCUGCCACACUUAAAAUCACUAUGGAUGGGUGAUUACCACCGCAAUAUCACAAUGACGAUAAUUAAGCCAACCUCCUUAGACCAAUUUACUAUAGUAAUAUUAAUAAUGCAAUAUACAAUGAAUAUUCUCAAAAUUUCCAAGCAUAAAAUGAUAAUUAAAUAACAUCGAGAUUUACGUAGUUCCUCUCCAAUACGGAGAGUACAUCUACGGCAGUAGCAAAAACUACGAGCACUUCUUCACUAUAACAAGGUAGCUACAAGGUGACCCGAGUCGAUCCAAAAAUAGUGUCUCUUAAGUGUUUCCCAACCCCGAAACAACUGCCCACUAUUUUAUUGCUCAAAAGAAAGUAUUCCUACCACGAUAAAACAUUUACUAGGACUUUCUACCACUCGCCUAUCUACCCAAUUGAGAUAACUGAUCUCAAUUAUUAAACAAGUGAAAAGUGCUACACUACAACACUACUAAAAAAAGAGUAUAGAGAAGUGAGAAAGGAAGAAGAGAGGGAUGAUUGAAAUGGAAUGCACUUUCUUCCCUUUUAUACUAGAAAUGUUGGGAAACCAAUUGAAAGCAAUUGGUUCUGGCAUCCAAUUAGUUGAAUCCCCAACCAAUUUCCCUGUGCACUAAAUUGAAGGUGUUAUAUCCAUUUAUUUUUUAUUAAUUUUCCUUAGCAGCCGAGACCAACAAUUCUCCCCCUCCCGGCUAACCUCGACUGUUUGUCAUCCUUGCUGCUGAUCUACAGUAUUCAAACUUCUCUCUCCGAAGACUCUUCGUGCACGUCGGAUCCAUUCUCGUCUGUAUGAAUCUUUUCGAGUUGUAGCUGUUUUGACUCUACAACAUUUUGAAUCCAAUAAUGUCGAACGUCGAUAUGUUUGAAUCUAGAAUCAAAACUCAAAUUCUUUGCAAGGUGUAUCGCACUCUAACUGUCACAGAACAACAUCGGUUGUUCCUGUUGGAACCCACGUUCGGUUAAGAACUUCUUCAUCCAUAACAACUCCUUGCUAGCUUCCGUUGUGGUAAUAAACUCGGCUUCUAUAGUGGAAAAAGCUACACACUUUUAUAGCCUUGACUGCCAAGAAACAGCUCCCCCUGAAAAUGUAAUUAGGUAUCCAGAAAUGGACCUCCGUGAAUCAAUGUCACCUGCUAUGUCCGUAUCUAUGUAGCCAACAAGUACAGGAUUAGAAUCUCAAAAACCAAGGAAAAAUUUGGAGGUACCUUGAAGGUAUCUCAGAAUUCACUUCACAGCUGCCCAGUGUUCCUUUCAGGAUUUGAAAGAAACUUACUGAAAACUCCAACUGCGUGAGCAAUAUCUGGCUGUGUACAGACCAUAGCAUACAUUAGACUUCCAACCCCUGAAGGAUAUGGAAUACUUUUCAUCUCUAUCUUCUUUGCAUCAGUAGACGGGUACUGUUUGGUGCUAAGAGUAAAGUGAUUAGCAAGAUGACAACUAACUGCUUUUGCACAAUCCAUGCUGAAUCGUGCAAUCUUCAAGCCAAGAAUCUGCUUCGCGGACCCCAAGUCUUUCAUAGCAAAAGACUUGCUCAACUCCUUCUUCAAGUUGUUGAUUCUGGAAACAUUCUGGCCAACAAUCAACAUGUCGUCAACAUAGAGAAACAAGAUGGUGAAAUCAUCAUCUCCGAACAUCUCCAAGAACACGCAAUGGUCUGAAGAGGUCUUCUUGUACCCUUGCUCGCCCAUAAUAGACUGGAACUUCUUGUACCAUUGCCGUGGUGCCUGCUUCAAGCCGUACAAACUUUUGUUUAGUUUGCACACGAAAUCCUCUUUUCCGUUCUUCUUGAAGCCUUCCAGUUGCUCCAUAUAGAUGUCUUCCUCCAAAUCGCCACGAAGGAAGACAGUCUUCGCGUCUAUCUGCUCAACCUCUAGGUUAAAACUUGACGCCAGCCCCAGCAUUGUACGAUUGGAUGUAAAUUUCACCACCGGUGAAAAUAUCUCGUCAAAGUCGAUGCCCUUCCUUUGACUGAAGCCUUUGACAACGAGCUGAGCUUUGAACCGUGAUUUACUGUUGUAUUCUUCAUGCUUGAUUUUGAACACGCGCUUGUUCUUCAAAGCUCUCUUCCCCUUCAGCGACUUAACCAGCUCAAAUAUGUUGCUGUCAUGUAGGGACUUCAUCUCGUCCUCCAUUGCCUCCAUCCAUUCUGCUUGUGUUCAUACUUCAUAGCUUUCUCGAAGCUAUCUGGUUCUCCCCCACCAAUGAAUAAAACAUAUUCAUUUGACGAAUAUCUCGUAGAGGGUUGCACGACUCUUCCAGAUCUCAUUCGGCGCGGAGAACCUUUGGCGGCUGGCGGUUGAUAAUGAGAACCAUCAUCAUCAUCAGGAUCAUCAGGCUAAACUUCAAAGGGGGCUUCAGGUUCAGCUAUCUCCGGAUGAAUUUCUCCAACAGCAGGUGUUGGAGGCUCUACCUCCUCGGGUGUUAAGCUAGUAUCAGUGCUAGGAGUAUCUCUCCCAGUCUUCUAAAUAUCUUCAAUGGUCUCAUUCUCCAUGAACACAACAUCACGACUCUUGAUGAGCUUCUUCUAGAUAGGGUCAAAGAAUGUAUAGCAAAAUUCAUAUUGUUUAUAUCCAAUAAAAACACACGGUCAUGUCUUGGAAUCCAGUUUUGACCUGUCGUCCCUUGGAAUGUGAACAAAGGCCUUCCAACCAAAUGCUCGAAGAUGCUUGUACGAGACAUCUCUUCCAGGCCAAAUCUUCUCUAGGGCUUAAAAAUCCAGUGGAACGUUAGGUGAAAGGUUCCACACAUGCACUACAGCAAGUAGUGCUUCUCCCAAGAAAGAGUGCGACAACUUCGAGUGCAAAAGUAAGCACCUGACUCUCUCCAUCAAGGUUUUGUUCAUCCGCUCCGCCACGCCAUUCAGUUGCAGAGUCUUGGGAGGUAUAAACUGAUGUCGAAUUCCCUUCUCCUUACAAUAGGCAUCGAAUGGUCCAAUGUACUCUCCACCAUUGUCUGUACGUAGACACUUCAGCUUCUGGCCAGUCUCCCUCUCCACCAAUGCAACAAAACGUUUGAAAACGUUUAGCACCUAAUCUUUCAUCUUCAGAACAUAUACCCAUGUCUUUUGCGAGUGAUCAUCAAUGAACGUCACAAAGUAACAUGCGCCACCAAGGGAUUUGGAAUCCGCUUCACUAAGACAUCUCCUUUGCCGACAACCUUGGAGAGGUUUCCAUUUCCCAUCCUUACCACAUCGUAGUUGCCCGAUAAGUAAGAUGAGAAAAAUUAACUCCUAAACCUUACAUCGAUGGUGGCGCUGCUGUCAACCACCCAAGGGGUCUCCUGGGUGGUCAGGUUGACAAAAUCUUCAUCAUAGACAAGCAUGAGCUACUCAACAAUAUUAGGAUUGGCACUAUCACCACCUUUGUUUGUGGGCAAAACCUUCAGAUGUGUCCCUUCUAUUUACAGUUGUUACAAGCGAUUUUUGCAUGCUUGUUGGACUUCCCUUGGCUCUUCCCUCGCUUCUUUGAGCCUCUCGACUCACUCCUUCCUCUCCCAUCCAUAGCUAGAACGUCUGACUGUGAUGAUGAGGAAGAGACACCUUGAGAUCUUCUUCUCAUCUCCUCGUUGAGAAUUCCGCUCUUGACAUCCUCCAUGGUGACAACACCAUCUAUGGCAGAGCUCGUGAUUGCAAUCUUCAAGGUUUCCCAUGAUUCUGGUAGGGAUGCCAGAAUCAAAAGAGCCGUCACCUCAUCUUCGAGUUUUAAGUUCAUUCCCGACAACUGGUCAAUGAUCCCUUGAACGUCGUUCAAGUGAUCGGCAACGGAAGUGCCCUCUUUGUAUCUCAUCUGCACCAUCUUCGUGAGAUAAAAGAGUUUGUUGUUGCCGGUCUUUGAAGCAUAAAGCCCCUCCAGCUUUUUCCAAAGCUUCAAAGCAUCUGUCUCUCCAGCGAUGUGGUUGCGUACGUUAUCAUCGACAUGGUGUCGAAUGUAACUACACGCCUUCUCGUGCCCGCACUUCCCAUCCCCGUCACUCUUAGCGGCUGGCUUAGUUGACAAUGAAAAUGGUUGAUUCAUAUCUUUCAUCAACAGGAGAUCCUUCAUUUUGCUUCUCUAGAUAUGAAAGUUUGUACCGUUCAAACUAACCAUCUUGCUUGGCAUUGCCUCCAUAUUGAACCGAGCUCUGAUACCACUGUUGGGGUACAUCGGACGAGAAUAGACUAAAUAUAUUUCACUACUAAACCACACACCAUAAAUAUUUCUCAGGCAGGUUGGAAGUGGCGGUAGUCCACCACACUUAAAAUCACCAUGGAUGGGUGAUUACCACCGCAAUACCAUAAUGACGAUAAUUAAGCCAACCUCCUUAGACCAAUUUACUGUGGUAAUAUUAAUAAUGCAAUAUACAACAAAUAUUCUCGAAACUGCCAAGCACAAAACGGUAACUAAAUAACACAAGGAUUUAUGUAGUUCAUCUCUAAUACAGAGAGUACAUCUACGGCAGCAACGACAGCUAAGAGCACUUCUUCACUAUAACAAGGUAGCUACAAGGUGACCCGAGUCGAUCAAAAAAUAGUGUCUCUCAAGUGUUUCCCAACCCCGAAACAACUACUCACUAUUUUAUCGCUCACCAAGAAAGUAUUCCUACCAUGAUAAAACAUUUACGGGGACUUUCUACCACUCACCUAUCUACCCAAUUGAGAUAACUUAUCUCAAUUAUUAAAUAAGUGAAAAGUGCUACAAUACAACACUACUAAAAGAAAAGAGUACAAAGAAGUGAAAAAAGAAGAAGAGAGGGAUGAUUGAAAUGGGAUGCACUAACGUCCCUUUUAUACUAGAAAUGUGGGGAGACCAAUUGAAAGCAAUUGGUUGUGGCAUCAAAUUAGUUGAAUCCCCAACCAAUUUCCCAAUGCACUAAAUUGGAGGUGUUGAGAUCUCUUUAUUUUUUAUUAAUUUUCCUUAGCAGCCGAGAGUAACACUCCGCUUGUAGAAGGUGAAUGAAUCAAUCGCGGCUUCCUCAACGGAAAAUCUGGAUUUUAACUUGUCGGAGUCGACCGUCGCUAAUCCUUCUACAUUGCCAAUUCCUCCUCUCUCCCGUCGGCAGUGCCUCUGUGAAUUCCUCUGCCAGUGCCGCUUAAGUCCAUCGUCGUCGACCUGAGGAAAGAAGUAGUCUGGAAUCGAAAAUAGAUCGGUCGAUGUCUUCGCCUAGCAAAUAAGAACUCCCAUGGAUGGGCUUAAAGCUUUCCAAUGGCAUGUGUCCAUCACUCUUGGUGGAGACGAUGAGAUUCAAGGCAAUACAGUCGCACAGUUCGAUAUGAGAAGAUGAAGUGACAAAUGUUAAUCAUGGUCCCCAAAUUUUAGAUACUAUAUUAUCAAUCCUGAACUUCUAUUAACUAACAACAUAGACUUUAAUUUUUUAAAUGUUAACAUCCAUGGACCAGAUACUUUUUCAGUUAGUACAAAUAAACCCGAACGGUUACAAACUAUUUAGUUUCAUUAUAAUAAGUUAUUUAAGAUCAUAAUUUGUUUUUUUAUAAUCAGUAAAAUUUAUAGUCAAUAAUAAUUUUUAAUAUAGCUGGUAUAAUUAAUAGUAAUUACAACGAGUUGUAGUUUAUGACCAUUAAUGUAUAACUAGUUAUGUUUUACAGCUGGUUAUAUUCAAAAAAUAAAAAACAAUUAUAACCAAUUAUAUCUUUAUUAAUUUUAAUCUCUGAAACAAAAUAAGAAGUGCAUAUUUAAUUACUUGUUUUUGACAAAUAAGUUACCAAAUAGGUUUCCAAAAGUUCAUACUGGUUUUUGCAACCUCUAAAAUGCUGGAAAUCUGAUAAUAAAGAAACUAGCAUUACACAAAUCCAAUGAAAAAAGUUCUACAAAAACAAACUUAACUAAUUCGAAUGAAGAUCAACCAGCAAAACAUAAAGAAACUAACUUAACAAAUCCAGCAAAAAAAGUUAUUAAAAAACACACUUGACCAAUGCAAAUGAAAGUCAACCAACAGAACAUCAAUAUCUAAUCAGCAAGCAUCAUUAUCAGAAUCUACGUAAAUCAUUUGCCUUUUGCGGUCUUUAUUGAUGGUGGGAGAGGGGAAAUUUUUAUCCAGAAGGUCAUCUUUAAGAGCUUCAUCCAAAUUGAUAGGAGCGACUUCCUUGUUUUUGGUGGAACUUGCUACAACUUUCGUAAAUAGACAAUUGAGGUCCAGAAGUACAACUCUUAAUGGACUGCUGAUUAGAAUCAUCUCCUGUACCAAAAGCUAGAACAUUUUCUUGCAACCAAAUAAAAAUGCUACAUGAAAGAUUCUAUAAAUAACAUAGGUGCCAAAUAUUUUUUAUUAAAAUAGUUUUAAGUAGGGGCUAUGUUCACAUGAGUCAAAAUCUGAGGACUCGAAGGAGUCUCAACAAUUGGUGAUGCUAGAAUCUUUGUGAUUAUAAUUCAUUUUUCGCCAACAAAAAUUAUUAUCUGAUUAGGUGGAAUUCUACUGUCUUUAUCGUUCAGUUCAUAUAGGCUGCUAGCAGUCCCAAGAAGUUAUUGACCAAAAAUGUCAAGAAAAAUGAGGUAUGCCUUGCUUGUAUUGUCUGCAAUUUCCAUUUGUAUAUGAAAUCUAAUAGGGAGAUAAACAAAAGAGCUAUAAGAAAAAGUAAUAAAGAGAUAUGAAAAUGAGGAGCAAUUUUGAACAGCUCUUACCAUUUCGUUGCAUUCUUCCUAAGUAGUUUACUGCAGAAGUAAUCAAAGACAUCAUCUUCAACUUUUUUAGAACAAACUUCGCAUCCAAUAUAGCAUCAACCAUCUUUAAUACUUUUAAUUAUAUAAUCCAUAGUAAAAUAUUUCUCUUACAAAGUAGAAAAGAGUUAGUUCAUUAAUCAUUCUUGGAAAAACUUUUAGAAAAGAAAAGGUUAGCUGUUGAGAUAAGCUCUAAUUCAUUUUCUACAUAAAUAUUUUUUGGGAUGAGAGACAUUCAACUAUAAAAUGAUAGGUUGAUACCAGAGAAUUCAACAUUCUAGAUGACAAAAAAAGGUGCAUGAAUACAAACUUUCAGAUUACAGUUUUAACCCACUCAAACUUACAAAAAUGAAAACACAAAAAAAUAACUGUUGUAGUUAAUACUUAGACCAACUCGAAACAACGAUUAGUCACGAAAUGAACUUUUUCAUACCUGGUUCUCUACCUCUAAUAUUGAUGAAUUCAACGUUUUCAAGGUAACUGAAUCACUGUUUCCAAUGUCACUUGGAUUUGAGUAACGUGGCAAAACAGCAUAUAGCUUGUCAUCGUUUGCCCUAAGAAAAGAAUAAAAUUAGACUACUAAGUUUUUUAUUGAUGGUGUUGUUCUUGACUUUGUAUUCAAUAGUCGAAUUGAGCUAUUAGAGUUUUUAUAGUUUUAACUUUUACCUUGUAGUAAAUUCUAGAAUUUCUGGAAUUUGGAGAUUUGGGAGAAGUUGUGUUGCUCCACAAGUUGAGAGACGAUUUUCCGCUUCACAAAGUUACAGAACAUCAUCAAUUUAAUUUUUUGGUUAAAAUGUGAAAGAUAAUUCGAUAGAUUGCAAAAUACUCUCAAUCAAAUAUUCCGGCAAACAUAGAGGUUAUUAUGAGGACUAAUGGUUUAUCUCCAUUCACCGCAUAUAGCCCAUCCAUCAUCGUCUUUAAUCUUCCCCAUACAAAAAGUUUUACCGAAAAUUCCAUGUUUUUGAUAAAAUAAUAUUAACGUGAAUUGUUAUCAUGUACAAAUGAAUUAAAGUAAGAAUACGAAAAAUAGUAGAUAUAAGCAUUUAUUACUUGGCUAUUUGGAGCGUGAUUUCUCCUCUUGCUGAAUAUGCUGGUUUAUUUUGAGGAGUCUUAUAUUCUGUCACAUAUCUAUAACAUCUAAUCACAUAAAAAUAAUAAGGUUUAUAUUAUCAAGUACAAAAUCAAAAAGGAAUUAAAAUAAUAGGAGAUGUGGAUAUCUGUAAGUAGCUCACGUUUGUGCAAGUUCGGCGGAAUUUUGCCGGCCUAGAAGAUGCUAUAUCUUCUAUGACCUCCACUACAGUGUUAGGAGUGAAUUAAACGACGAACCGAUUUGGAAUUGGAUGGAAUUUCUUCGCCGCAUUUAUGACUUUAGCAUUAGCGACAAUAUACACUUUCUGAUAAGUCAGGAGGUGUGAGAAAUUAUGCAUAAGACGUUGAGGAAUCUGAACCCAUAUCUCAUCAGCCUACAUGACAAAGAGAUGUUUAGUUUGUAAGAAAAUUCUGUGUUUAGUAAUCGCAUAACUGAAAAUAUGUUUCAAAAAUACCUUAUCAUCAAUAAAAAUGAUAUCUCUGUACAUCACAACAUUGUUGUUUGAGUUGAUGGCUAUCCAUAAUCGGCUGACCCUUACUUACAAGGGAUUUCUAAUUAGCAUCUUACCAAUAUCAGCUAUAUAGUCAAACGUCAUUAUCCUAAACUGAGAAGCAAACUAAACUAAUAAAUUAGUAGUGUAACAAAUUUAUGAAGGAUGGAGUUGGGAGUGUUAAGACAUUACCGAUGUUGGAAUCUCCAAUGGUAAUCAAGAAAAGUACGUUGUAUUCUUGAACGAAUGCUUUUUUAUAAAAUAAUAAACUAACUGGACUUUUCUUGUUUGCACAUAUGUAGGAAACAUCUUCUAUAUACAUGGGUAGUGAAGAAAUUGGAAGAAAUUGCCAGUACGUGGGAGUGAUUGGAAAUUACCACAUAUACGUUGCAAGUAAGCUUCUAAAUGUAGUAUAUUUUAUUAAGAAAAGAAAUACUAUAUUAUUUUAGAUGCAUAAAUAGUAAAUAUCUAAUCUAAUAAAUAAAAUUUUACACGUGAUUAUGUUUGAAUAAAGUUUGCAUUCGUUAUGAGCUAUUUCAACUCAAAUGUAAUUUCACCUUUUAGUUUUGGUGAUAAUGUAUGCAAACUAUUACCAACACUUAAUCAAUGCUCGUAUGCAAACUGCAUAUAAAAUAUGGAUGGUUUACGUAUGAAUAGACAAUAGACAUUUGAUACCAUNNNNNNNNNNNNNNNNNNNNNNNNNNNNNNNNNNNNNNNNNNNNNNNNNNNNNNNNNNNNNNNNNNNNNNNNNNNNNNNNNNNNNCAAUGUACUUUAUAUUUUAGGUACGACCCAUGUGAUAGAUUAUAGUGUUCCACUGACAAUGUCAUAUUAAUUAUAUUUCACUACAUCUACUAUAACAUAGAAGCACCAAAGGGUUUGAAUCAGAGGAACACUUACUCAUCCAUUCUGGUUUGUGUAUGUGGUCUUUUAUAACAUCGUGAUCCUUGUAGCGACCAAACCAGAUCCUUUCGAUACCUCAACAACUUGAUUUUUGAGGAAGCGAUUUUACUUUACACCUUUCACUUGAAAAAAUCAAAGAAUGUGUUCCUACAAAUGAAGAAGGCGGAGUAAUAUAUCAGUAAUCACUUUUCUUAUGAUACUAAUACAUGUAAAAUAUAUUUUGAGCUAUAUAUGGAUUCAUUAUGCAAUGAAAUGGAAGAUCAGAAGAUAACUGAACAUAAAUGAUCACUACUUCGCAAUUUUUCAGUCUUGAGACUAUUCAUAAAAGGGAGGAAAUUCCUCACCCUAAUCCACUCUAAUGAUAGACCCACGAUUUUAAAAUAUCAAUGAACCAAAACGGUCCUAAAUCCAGUUUCUAAUGUAUGUUUUGAAUACAGUUCAUAAUGUAUGUUUUGGUCAAUAGAGCUUGUGACAGAAUCCCUCGAUUCCGAAGGGAAAUGGAUGAACUUAGCUCAUGUGAUUCUUAUAAGCUUCUCGAUUGAAAAUCCUACCGAAUCAACCUUAUCAGUAACGCUAUCACUUGAUUUAUGAAUUGUACGAAAGCUACUAUUCUAUUUUUAUGAACUGUUUGCAACAACUAUCAACAUGUGCUCUAACGAUGAUGUUGAAUCAGAAUUGGGGAUUCCCUAACUUCCAUUAAUAAUCGGUUCAUUAGAACUGUCUAUGAAUACUUGCCUGUUGACGAUGCAAUUGAAAUCAUUCGAGAUUCCUUGAGGAUUGGUGAUCAUACUCUGGUGUUUAUUAGGGGAUAAACUUUGUCAUUGUCGUAGGUUGGGAACAUAGGUUGGUGAUCAUGGUCAGAAGAAUCUUCCCUAGCUAUCCAGCUUUUGAAUAAGCUGAGGCUCCAGCUCGUAUAUCAUGCCUGUUGUAUAUAUAAUUCAGAAACUGCAAUCUCACGAUCACAAGACAUUCAUAAGGAAAUUGAAUAAAAAAUAUAUUCAUACGUACAUAAGUGCAGGGAAAAACACUGACCUUGGGAUAAUGUUGGGAGAGAAGGAGCGCCAAAGAAUAUAAUAACCUAGAACCAAUGACCACCAACAUAAAUACCCAUCUUGUUUGAGAUGAAUGAAGAUUGGAUGAUGAAGAAAGGCAGCCGGGAAGCAAAAAAACCCAAGAAGUAGGAAAGCGCCUCUCCUUGCCGUCGAAAUGACAAUUGAUUCUACUAAUACAGCUUCUCCUUGCAUGCGCCUCCUUUGCCGUCGAUUUCAUGUUGGAAUCAGGCAAUAAAGCCAUUCCUUGCAUGCGCGUCGCUUGCCAGAUUUAUUGAUGAUGUAUUCGGCCAAUCGCAUCUCUUCCUUUCAAGAACCUCUGUUGUCGUUGAUUGGAUGAAUUAGGAAGAUAGUGAAUGAAUCGAUUCCCAAUGAACCGUAUGUGAUGUAUUAAAAGUGUGGAUGGAGACAUUCAAUCACUUGCCCUAAAAUUGUUGAUUCAAACUUAAAUCUACAAAACCAUUAGAGCAGAGAGAAGCUGCCUGAACAAAGAGAGCAGAGAAGAAGAAGAAAAAAUCAAACAAAAACCUAGCUCUGACUAAUUGCUAUCGGUUCCUAAAUUUGAUCUCAAGAGAAAUUCCGAUCCACCUCAAUUUGUUUUUUGUUGAGCUGCAGAUAUUGGAGCCUUGGGCUUUGAGCUUUCAUUUAAGGAAUCAUGACAUAAAAUUUGAAUGGGUUUAACUCCUUCAUUGAUAUUACUCUAUUAUUUUUGUACGAAUACUUUAUUAUUAAAUUGAAUUAGACAAAUUUAUUCAUACACAUAUUAAAUAGCCCAAAUGAAAUGACAAAUUCGUCCGAAAACUUAAGUAUUACUGAUUUCGACGAAUUGAUUCUGAUUCUCCAAAAUAAAUGUACAUUCGAGGACCAUUUCUGUGAGCACAACACAAGUAAAGUGUUUGCAUCAAACACAAAAAAAACAAAUCUCCUUAAAAAUGGGACAUAAUUGUGAGGAUUACCAUCCAAAAUACAACAGUCAUAUUGGACCGAACUAAUGUCUUAGCAAAGCUGGGCAUAUCAAUAGGUAAAGUUGUUCGAAAAUAUUUGUUUCACUCCGUGAACUAAUGUCUUAACAGAGCAGACAACUUUGUUUUAGCGCUAUCAUAGAAGUCAUUGACAACGGCUCUCUUUUGUCUUUCGAAACAACAACAACAACAACAACAAUAACUAUUCAGAAAAAACACUCAGUAUGAGGAUCAUAUUAUGCAAAUGAUUCCAAAAAGAAUAAAAGAGCAUCUAUGAACCUGAACAAUUGAUUUAAAUGUAUGAGUUGGAUACAUCAUGUUAGAAGAAUACAAAAAAAUGUGAGAAAAUAAAAACUACAUGAAUGGAGAGAUACCCUACAUAUUUUUCAAGAUGUGAGUAUAAAAACAAGUUUGGUAUAUUUAUUAUUCGUCCGUUUAGUUGUCAGGUUUUAUUCGUACUCNNNNNNNNNNNNNNNNNNNNNNNNNNNNNNNNNNNNNNNNNNNNNNNNNNNNNNNNNNNNNNNNNNNNNNNNNNNGAGAUGAAAAAGAAAAAGAAAAAUUCUUGAAGAAAAAUAAAAGAAGAAGAAAAUUCAAAAGGAGAAAAAGAAGAAAAAGAAUAAAAAGAAAAAGAAAAAGAAAAAGAAGAAGAAUCGAAGAAAAAGAACAAAAAAAAUUGAAGAACAAGAAAAGUCAAAUAAGAAGAAAAAGAAGAAAAAAACGAAUCGAAGUAGAAGAAGAAGAAGAAAAAGAAAAAUGACUGAAAAACAAAGAACGAUGAACGACGAAUGAUGAACGCAGAAAUCCAGUUGGGUUUCUGCGUUUUUUUAUUAUUGAACCAAUAUUUGAACGGCGAAUUUUAUCCGUUGUUAGCUUUAACGGGGGAGAAAAUCCGAUGUUAGUUUUAACGGAGCUUAACAAUGAAUAAAAAUCUGUCGUUCGCUUAUUUACCAUUACUUAACCUAACUGCGGAUUUUCAUACACCGUUAGGAUUUCUAACAGCGGACUACCCGCUGCUAAAAUAGAUAAAAAAAA